GACGAUGACACAUCUCUUGCCAUACGGAUGUAUCCGGCCUCACCCCAUCUGGCACCCCAUGAGUUCUUUACUAUCCAAUAUUUUUUUCCGUUGCUAUCCUGCCCGUAACCUAUAGCGGUGACGGCGUGAUUGAGACUAGUUCCACAAGGUCCGUUAAACACACCGCUCUUGUAAUAUUGAAAGUUUGCAUUGGCAUCGACAGCAACAGUUAUUGGUUGUUUCGACACAGCGUACAUCAUGCUGCUUUCGUUGUUCCUCGGCACACGUGCAUAACCAGUAAUAUAAGCUGAAUUGGGCACGCCAUUGGUCUUGCAGGUGCCUUUGGCUGCUUUGUAAGGGUAGAUAGCUGCCNUUGGAAUCGGACCACGUGUUGCACGUACGGAAUAGGGAGUGAUAAGAAAAAUCUCAUAAAUUAUUAAUACCGUCCAGGCUCUCUUGAGCGAUUAGGAUGUGUAUGGUUGCACGUAAAAUUGUGAAAAAAAAAUUUAUCAAGAAAAAAAAUUUUGGUGGAAAAAAAAUUUUACGUCUUUAGUGUUUGAUUUGUAGGAAAAGAAAAAUAUUUUUUCAUGACUGUUGUUUGGUUGAAAAGAAAAAAAUUGAUAAAAAACUAUUUAAUAUAAUUUUUUAUUAUAUAUUAUUAAUAUAUUAUUAUAAUUUUUAUUUAUAGAUUAAAUAUAUUUAAAAUUAUAAUAAAUAUAUAACAUAAUAUCUAAGCUUACCCGAAUGCCACGCCUUGUUAGAUAUGAUGAAUUCGAAGGCUCCUGAACUCCCAGCCGCCCUUUGCACCCCAGUAGCCUUUAGCACAAUCGAAACUUUGCUGCUCCGGUUGAUUUUUUUUGUAAAAGGUUUCUAAAGAUCCCUUUGUUUGAUCUUGUGAUUGAUUUCUAAACCCGUCGCAAUUGCAGGCGAAUGCCACAGCAAGCCACCUGUGCCGAAACAAAGAUUGAAAUCGGUGUUAGCAUAGCUAGUGUAAAGCAAAGUAAUAUAUAUGUAGUUGCCAUGAUAAAAGAAAAACAUUCCAACUAAACCUAAUUAGAUGUUAUUUGUCAAGUAUUGCAGCUGCUUUUAACUUGUUUCAAGUCAGUUGUCAUGCAUAGGGAUGUCCCAUUCUUUUGACUAACACCGUACAUAUUUUGCUUAACUUUCAUAAUAUUAUUGUAAUAAACUUAAUUAAUAAUAGAAAUUCAAAUAAUAACCUAACGCCUAGAUGAUUGAAAUCAAGGUCGAAGUCUAUGAUGUUAUGGUUGAAGUCUUUAAGUGUGUUUUGGAUGAGCAAUUCUUCUUAAUCAGCCAUGUAUUUCUGUAAUCAGUUUGAUUGUGACUUAUGAUCCACAGUUCCGAUCAGGCAAGGCGAUGAUUUUUUAUACUAGAUUCAAACUUCCUUGUAUGAGAAUUGAUAAUAAAUGUCUAGUGAAUGUUUAGAGCAAAAUAAUAGAUUAUUGCGUUUUAGUGGUGGAGUUUUGGUCCUUUAGCCAAAAACGGCGGAAGGCACUUCAUUGGUGAGAUUUGAUCUAAGCAACAUGUUUAAAGUUAACUAAGGUAGCAUUUGGUUGGGAAUAAUAGGGAAAUAAAGCCCUUGUUCUCAAACGCAGCUUUGUAUCGCGAGAAUAAAUAGUUAAUUCUCGAGUUUCUAAAAAUGCCCGGGUAUAGAAGAUUGGAAAGCGUUGUUCCAAACCUUUUUCUGGAAAAGUUUGUUCCUAGGUGAGCAAUAAGAUUAUUAAAGUCUAAAUAGUUUAAUUUAUGGUAUUCGAAUUAACUUAAUUAAUUUAAUUAAUAUAUUUAAAAUUACCUAUUUAAAUCUUUAAAUAAUAAAAUAAUGUAUUAAUUUAUUAUAAUUAAUUAAUUAAUUUAUAAUUAAUAAGAAGUUCGUAUCUAUUUCUAAAUAAGCGUUUUUACUAUACCCAAACCAAACGCAGCCUAAAUGGAAUAGGUAUUGUCUCCCUAAAGUUGCAAGAAAUGAAUUGCAUUGAUAAUUUAUACGCUAAAAUAUUUCUUACGCACAGGCGGUUUUGGUGCUAUGACACUUGGUUAGGCGGCAACCGUAGUUCUUCCAAUCAAGUACUCUUGAGGGCACGCGCGGAGAUGUCUACGUCAUCAAACGACACCUACUGGCCUUCUCUCUCGAUAUUUAUGGGCGAAGAUAUACGCACCAGUAUAAUUGAGGGGCAUAAAAAAUUCGUUACUUUGUCAUAUCGGUAACUGAUUGAUGCCGAGAGUGUACGAAUUUUCGUUGCGACUGUUAAAGGUUUCGAUAUGGUUUCACGUUGUUUCUUGAAUAUCUGAAACGGCGCAUCUCUCAUCGUUGCUUGUAAACUCGGCUCGUACUACACCAUCCAUUCUCACCCGCUUCAUCAUGGGAGAUCACUGGUUCGUCAGCCAGAAGCUGGCGAUGCGAAGCCCACAAUCACAACAGAGAAUACAAGAAAAGAAACACGACUUGAACUUUCCAAGCCAAUGCUUAUGUAGACUAAUAUCUGCUAUAUGUAUAGGAAAUUGAGAUCGCAGCUAAAGAGCUUUCUUCUGUGCUGAGAUGGUCUCAAAAAGAUCGAGUUUAAUAUAGUAAGUUCGUACCUUCGAAUGUAGGGGGGAGAAUUAAUCGGUGGAGGCCUAACAAGAAUGUCACAAAUUCGCCAUCAAUUUAAGAUUAAAUAGUUCUGACGGCUUGCGACCCACGUCAUGUGGUCACUAGUGUAGAUAUUAUGAAAUAAAAAUUUUGUAUAAAUAAAAAUAUCAGUUUGGUAUGAAAAAUAAUAAAUAUAGUUAAUAAUUUAUAAACAAACACUUCUAUAACAAAAUAAAACUAAAAUGAAAAAAAUUAAUCGUUUUCCAAAUAAGAAUUAUUCAAGCGCUUGUUAAAAAAAACGCAUACAUACAAAUGGAUGAUUAAAAAUAUUUUUAUAAAUACAAUAAAGAUAAAAUAUCAUAUAGUAAGUUGAUAAUGAAUUAAAAAAAAAAUCACAUAAUAUGCAUAGACUAAUAUAUACUAUAUGAUAUAUAUAUAUAUAUAAUAUAUAUAUAUCGAGUUGAGUUAGAAAUGCUAUCGAUAGCGAACGGGGCGCUCCGCGCCAUCCAUAUUGUUUUCGAUGAUGGAGGCCUUCAAUCGACCAAUGCUCAUCUUGAAACAUGUUUAUACCAGUUGAAAUAUUAGAAAGUCAAUUUUAAAAUCUUAUUCGAAAUCUAUUUACUAAUGAAUCAAAGGUUUCAAAUUUGUAAUUUUAAAUAGUAGAUGUGAAGAUAGUUUUCUCGUUUAAACGGUAAUACAAAGCUAUCGAAUCAUUGAAAUUUUUGGUUCAUCAAAAUUAUUUAGACACUAUUAGAUUAAGAUCUAUACUCCCUGCAUGCUUGAUUAUAAAUUUCUAUCAUCACUUUUUAAGAAUAUUCAUUUUCAAACGUUCAUUUCCACUUGAUGACAAGAAAGCAAUAUCCGAAAAAGUACGAACGGGUCUUCAUUUCAAAGAUCCUUCAAAUGGUAUACACUAUAUCAUUUUCAAUAAUAUCCCGAUCGCGCGAUUGGAGCUCCAUCAUGCGACGCAACCCGAUUCAAGUUCAUCUCAUGUUCCUUGAUCCAAAAGAUUCUAUCAAUCUCAUUCUCUUCACGAUAUCCUGAAGUGCAAAUUAAAGCAUAUGGUACACCCAAAAUCAAUCAUGCAUUAUACUUUUUUAGUGUAGUAAUUUUCUUAAACUUUAUAAAUUAUAUCAACAAAUUAAAUUUUAAUUUUAAAAGUUUUUAGAGGAAAAUAUAAUUAGUUUACAGCAUUUUGUUCAUUUUGAGAUCUUUUUUUAUCGCCCGAGUAAAACGCUAGUAAGACAGAUGUAGUACGCAAUCAUGCCUAUGCUGAGAUUCCUUGAAAAUUUUUGAAUGUAUCGUCAUCUUGAUAAAAAGUGGCCACCUCCAAUCAAUCCAACAAUUUUUUAAAAUUUAUUUUGUUCACAUAAUAAUUAUAAAGAUAUAAUUUUAUUAUAUAUUUAAAAUAAAUAUAAUUAGUUUAUUAUUGAUAAUAUGGAUGUUAUUUAUUAUUUAUUUUUUUGAGAGCCAGAUAGUAUAUCUACCACUUAUUUUUAAUAGUCAUUUAAAAUACAGAACUGAACAAUAUGAAUUAAUAAAAUAAUUGUUAUUAUUAAUGAUGUGAUGUAAGUAUGAUACAGCUAAAUUUUUUCCGCAGGCCAUCUAUAAUGCCUUUAUCGGACAAAUAACUCAUGCAUUCAUUCCUUUCUAUAUUAUUAGGAAGCAUUUUGGUGCUCGUCCUUUGUUUGGACAGAUGGCAAUCAUCGAAUGAGGGGGCCCCGUACAAACCUUCACUCUCCGUACCAAGGGUUAUUGCAGCUAUAUUUGUUUAUUGACAUCGACCACGUGUUGCACGAGCGGAAAGGGAGUGAUAAGAAAAUCUCAUAAAUUAUUAAUACGUCCAGGGCUCUCUUGAGUCAUUAGGAUGUGAUAUGGUUGACGAAAUUGUAGAAAAAAAAAUUUAUCAAGAAAAAAAAUUUGGAUGGAAAAAAAUAUUUAGUCUUUGUGUUUGAUUUGUAGGAAAAGAAAAUAUUUUUCAUGAAUGUUGUUUGUUGAAAAAAAAAAUUGAUAAAAAGACUAUUUUAAUAUAAUUUUUUAUUAUAUAUUAUAAUAUAUUAUUAUAAUUUUUAUUUAUAGAUUAAAUAUAUUUAAAAUUAAUAAAUAUAUACAUAAAAUGAAGAGUUAUAAUUUAGAAGAAUUAAUAAAUAUAUACUAUAUAUAUAUAUGGUUGUUUCGUUAGAAGAGAAUAAAAAAAUGAAAAGUAAAUAAAAAACGAUUUAUAUAUUCUUUUUUUAUUAUUAUAUAUAUUAUAUAGGAAAUUUCAUAGAUGCCCUUCAGGAACCUAUUAAUUUCCAUCAAUGCCCUUCUAAAACUGAUAAUAUGCAUGAAUGCCCUCCAAAUAUAUCAACAAAUUUCAUAAAUACCUUCACUAGUUAAGUUCGUCAAAGUCCCUUUAAAAUAGAGUUAUAUUUUUAAAAUGGCCAUUUUUACGCCUUUAUCUCCCCAUUAACAGUAGAAGAAUAUCUAAAUAGAUAUUUCAAGACAAUUUCUAUAUCACCUAAGUUUAAUUAUUAAAUUAAAUUAUUAAUAUUAAUUAAUUAUAAAAAUAUAUAAUUAUUAAUUGUAUUUUAUAUAAUAGUAUGUUUUAUAUGAUUCUUGGUUUUGUUUCGGGCUGAUUUCGGUUCAGGUUUGGUUUAGAUAUAAAUCAAAACGCAUUACCAUUGAGUUUGAAAUAUAAUGUGAUGUUUAUUUUUUUUCAUCUAAGCUUUAACUGAAACUAUAUGAGUUUUAUAAAUUAUAUUUAAAAGUANNNNNNNNNNNNNNNNNNNNNNNNNUUCUUAGUUAGUCAUAGGAUAUAUAUAGGAUGUUAAGAUCUGUAUAAUUGGGAAAGUGAGGGGUUUUGUAUAGAAAUUUGUCUUGUCGAUAUUAUUGAUUGUUUACAAGUGCUAAACUGUUAAAAUCUCACAACACACCAUAUGGCGAAAAACUGUAAAAUUGUUAUUUUGAUGAUCUUUAAUUGGAUCGACAGUUCAGAUGAUUCGAAAAAAUUGAAAUUUAGGUUCGAAAUAAUUUCAAUAGUGUAGGAUCAAUUUAACGGAGCCGUCGUACGAUAUGGAACGGAUCAUUGAGAAACUAACGUUGUAGCAUGAAGCAGCAUCCUCCUAACCGAUAAGCAUACGCUACUGAUGCGAUAUUAGAUUAUAAUAUAUUAAUAAUAGUAUAUAAUUAGUAUAUACUCAUGUUAUAUUAUAUCGAGCUAUAUAGUAUUAGUAUUAUAUAUGAAGCGAGCUUAUGAUCUUUGUAAAAGAAUCAUGAACUUGAGCUUGCUUGUAAUUUUUGCAUGUUAGAUUUACUAUUUUACUCUUUUCAUAUAUUAAAUAUACUAUACAAUCAAUCGACCAUACUCAACAUGAGAUAAUAUCAUCCUAACGACUCUCCUUAAUCAAGGACCAGAAAAUCUAUAAGCAGAACUGAUUUGAAUAUUUUUAAAAGUAUAAGGACUAUUUUUGUAUUAGAGAAAUCGUUGCUGCUCAAGAAAGAUAGAGGCAUUAGUACUCUUAAAUUAUUUAUCGCUAUGGAGAUUUCAAAUCUGUAAUCCAGUCCGUAAGCUUGAUAUAUAUAUUUUGAUUUAUAAAAUAAAUUUAUAUUACUUUUUGAUAAUGUUUUUAGUAAUAGACAAGCGUUCAAAAUCAAUCGAUUAAAAAAACGGUGAUAAAGAAAAUAAUGAUAUAACGAUGUAUAUUAUAGGAUAUGUGGCCGGCGCAAAUAUAAAAAAAUAAAAAUAAGAUUAAAAGAGUAAAAUGAAAACCUACGCCAAACGAAAAAAGCCUCCGCAAUACAAGGAUAUAAUCUACAUUAUACACAAGUGAACAAGACGGAUAACAACAUGCCGCCCAGCAUGACCACGGAAAAACGAAGAUCGGCGAGAUAAUAGCGAAAACAAGAAUAUCAGCGGAACUUAUAAGAUUCGCGCUUAAAUAUAAUAAUUUGUAAUUUAUAUUUAUACAUCUAAAAUUAUUAAAUUAUAGAUUAUAACAGUAUUCUAUUAAAAUAUCUAUAAAUUGUGGUUAAAUUUUUAAAGUUUAUUUAAAUUUAGUUAUAAAUAAAAUACAAUAAUAUAUAACCCUUAUAUAAUUCUGGUCCUCGUGGCCUGACGGCCCGAGGCAUGCCGAGAACAUGGAUAAAAAGGAUGUCACUUGGGCUGUCAAGCAGCGAGAAUUGAAUCGCGGCUGUUAUGUGGCCUAAGACCAUGUGAUCGGCAUAAUAUUUUUUUUACAAAAAGUAUUAUUUAAUAGAAUAAUAAUUUUUUACUUAAUAUUUUUAUUUUAUAAAUUUCAUGACUAUUUAAGCGACUGGAUAAAGCAUGAUCCGCAUCCAAGGGUAUUAUAGUGAUUGGUUUUGGAACCACGUUAAUUUAAGACUAUUUGAUUCAUUUUUAUAUCCGUUUGAUUAUAGCAUUCAACCAACACAUACUGUAACUUAGGACCAUAAUAUACUAACUGAUAUUUUUAUCUAGGGAUUAAAAAUAAAAGCACCAACUUAGCAACAAGCUAUAAUAAUGGAUAAGCAUUCGACUGAUUCGACCAUUUAUAUUAAUCUUUUUUAUACUUUAUUUCUCAUUAAUAAUUAGCUUAUAGUACCUAUGUAUUACACAACCAAUUAUGUGGCAGGUCAAAUUACACAAACCACUUAUUUCACCUAGAAUAAGGGCAUACACAUUGCGAUCAUAGAGACACAUUUCGAUCCAUUUUGAUAAUAUAAUUAUAGCAACAGUAGAAUGCUCAAUAACUGUAGAUUUUUAAAUAGCUUAUCAUAGAACAUACCAAACAUAUACAGAAAACACAUCUAAGAAAGCAGCUGAAAAUAGGAUGCUACUUGCAUCCUUAUUUGCUGGUUUUAUAACUAACAUAUACUGUAAUAGAAAUGCAAUGAAUGCGUUGGCUAAUCAUCACAUGGAUGCCCAUGACCUAAUCACUGAGGUUCGACUUUCAGAACAGGUAGGUGCCUGGUGACGAAUUGCAUUUAAUGGACUUCGACUUGCCCAGAUUGUAAGUGGGAUAGAGAGAUCCAUGGCUAUUACAUAAUCCAAAUGACGAAUGACCAUCUUGCAAGGCGGAUUAUCCGUCACCCAUCUGCACCAUAGUUCCUUAUACGAAAAUUUUUCCAGGCUGUAUCUUCUGCCAGUAACCUAUAAAUGGGAUGCAUGAUUGAGUCUAGUCACAAGUCGUAUAAACACCACCGUCACUUGUAAUUUGAAAGUUUUGCAAUUGGCAUCAGAACAGGGUCGAAGAGUAAUUGGUUUGAUUGAAUCACAGCGUAACAUCAUGCUGGCUUUCGUUGUUGCUGCUUCUCCGCACAUGUGAUAAACUAAGUAAUAUAGGCUGAAUUGCAGGCUUGUCUGUCAGGGGCCUUAUGAAGUUUGAUAAGGUGAGUAUAGCUGCGAUGCAGCCUUGGUUAGAAUAUUAUAAUCGAAGGCCUCGAACUCCCAUCCGCUUUGCACGCGUUAGCUACAGACAAUGAAGUAGUUGCUGCUCCGAUAAAUAAUAUAAUUCCCAGCUUUGAUCUUGUAGAUGAUCUACCGUCGCAAUUGCACGAAUGACCCCAGCAGACUGUGCGAACAAAGUAUAAAUUCGUGUUAGCUAACGUUAGUGUAAAGCAAAAGUAUAAAAAAAAUAUAUAUUAGUAGGUUGCAUGAUAACAAAAGAAGAAAAAUUUCAGAACUAAAUUGAUACUAUAGAGGUUAUUAUGCAAAGUACUAGGCUGCUUUUUAACUUGUUUUCGAAUACUAUGUCAUAGCAUGGAUGUCGCCGUUCUUUUGAACUAAAAUAAGUUAAUUUUGGCUAUACUAUUAAUAAUAUUAAUUAUCUGUAUAUAAAUUAGUUAAUAAUAGAAAUUAAAUAAUAUUGAGAAUCGCUAACAAUCCAAUGUAAUUAAAUCAAGUCGCAGUUAUAAUAUAUUAUUAAGUUUUAAGUGUGUUGGAAUAUUUCUUUUUAUAACCAACGAGUAUUUAUGUAAUAUAUAUCUAUACUUUACCAUCCACAUUCCGAUAGAAGUAGGAAUUUUUAUUAAUUAAUAGUCAAUAUUUCGAUAAUUUGCGUUGUAUGCAAUACUGAAUAACAAUGUCCUAAUGGAUGUUUAAGACACUUUUGAUGCCCAAAUAAUGGACUUUGUUGGUUUAUAGUGGGUGAAAUUUGGGUUCGCUGUGCUAAAAAUCGCAGAAGGCAUAUUUGGUGAGAUUUGAAUCUAAAAACAUGUUUAAAGUUAAACUAAGAUAGGUAUGUGUUCUAAGCUGAGAAAUAUUCUUUUGACAAUUUUAUUAUAGUCACAGUAAUCCUUACCACACGCGCAUUGUUUCUUGAAUCUUGUUAGCACCAAGUGGUUCCUCAAUAAAUACUUUGAGGGCACGCAGAUGUCUAUGUAUCAAAGGACACCCACUGCUCUACCCCUCCGAAUUUAGUCGGGCAUGAAUACACACAAAGUAUAAUUGACAGUGCCAAAUCGUUUGUUCGUCGGUAACGAUUGAUCUGGUUCGCGGGUGGAACCGAGCCGAGAAAGUAGUAUGAAUUGUUCGUUUGCAUCUGUUAAAAGGAUUUUCGAUAUGGUUUCCGUUUGUUACAUUAGAAAAUUCUCGAAACGGGUAGCAUUCUUUAUGUUAGUUCUGUUUGAUUAAACUCGCAGGGCUGUUCUGAACUCGCGUACUCGCCACCACAUUUAUUCAAACCUUUCAUCAUGGGUUCCUGGGUUCCGUACAACGAGAAUACCGAUGGCGAAGGACUAUACACAGGAAACAAGAAAAGAAACACAGAUUGAACUUGGAACCAUGCUUAUGUCACUAAAUAUUACUAUAGUAUGAAAUUAGAGAUGAGCUAAAAGAGCUUUUCUAAAGCUAGAAGUAUGUCCUCAAAUGAGCUAUACAUAUAGAAGUUCAAUGCCUUGAAUAGUAGUGUGAAUAUUUAAUAGGUGGGAUUAAUAGUGAAUCCGAAUUAAUUACAUCUUACUAUAUAUUUACUCCGCAUCAAUUCUUUAUAAAUGAUUUAACUCGCACACAAUUAAUCUACUAAGCUGCUUCAGAUACCCUUAGUAAAAUUUUCGUGUAUAAAUCGCGUAUUAUAUGCAAAUUUUUAGAAAAGCGAAUUAAACGUGCAUGUCGCAUUUUUCCAGAAAAAUGUAAAAAAAACGCAUUUUGUUUUAUAAAAAAAUAUGUAUUCAACGCGACCAUAUCGUGAUUCGAGAAUGAUUAGCCAAAAUAACGGGUCGCGCGCGGUCGGUUCGCGGCCGUCGUAUGUCGUCGUCUCUGCUCACGCUUGCUCGCGAAUUUUGAAUCACUGUAAAUCCCUGCUGGAAAAAAAUCCGCCUGAAAGAUUCUUUUCCCAAACACGGUUUCGUAAAUUUCUUUUGAAAAAAUUAAUUUUAUAAUUUUUUUGAAAAAUUGAGUUUGGGAGUCUCAGAAGCUCAGAGAAAUGCGGUUUGGGAAUUGGAGAAAUCGCGGCGUUCGCGAAGAUGUUGCGACAGUUCACGAGGCAAUUUGGCCUCGGUGGACGUAUGAGAGGGCAGAUCCCGGUGACGUCCCUCAUUAGUCAUCUUCGUUCAUUAUAUAUUAUAUAAUUUAUAUUUAUAUACAAAUUUAUUUAUAAAUAUAUAUAAUAUUUUUAAUGAUUUUUUAAUUUUUAUGUAAAAAUUUUAUUUUAGGUUUUUUUUAUAGUGCAUAAACUAGUUGUUAAUCUCUUUAAUUUAUUUAAUUUUAUAGUCUUCUAUUUUAUAUUUCUUAAGAAAUAUGAGUAUUUAUACUAAUAUAAAGUCAUUGAGAGAAAAAAAUUUAUUAAUAGCCAGAAGUUUAUCCCCCAUUUAAUUGGUUGCACGUAUAGAUAUCCAUAUAAAUCAACAUACCGAAUAAUAACCGGAUCUGUUUUUAUAGCCGGUAUUUUCACGAUUUAAAAAUUAAAGACGAAUUUAUAGAAUUUAUAUCCGUACCGAAUUUUUCCGAAUCGAAUAACUAACUAUGUUAAUACCAAAUAGGUCUAAAUUAAUUACAAACAAUCAAAUUGAAAGACCAAGUUCAAGUUGGAUCACCUGAAAAUUAAUUUUACGCACGAGUAAAAUUCACUUUACCCGCACAGCCCACCCUGUAUAUUUAUGGAGUUUUAUAUAUUGUUCUUAUGUAAGAGUUUAAAGGUUGCAUUAACUAUAUAUGUUAAUUUUUUUGUUUUUAUUUUAUCGAUAAGAACUGACAUUAGUUAGCAAAUGAAUUUUUUGUUCCUUUUUAACAAUAAGUCUUUAAAAAAAUAAUAUAAUAUUAUAAGAAUAUUUAUUAUAACUUUUCAAACCGCAUAAUCAAAAGCUGAAAAAUAUUAAAACUAGAAGAAAAUAAAAUUACCUAAUUAAAGUUCAUCAUUACUUACUUCGUCACGAUUUAUUGUUUCCUUCAAAGAUUCUAACAAUCAUUUUCUCUCAAAAUAUCUAGGCAAGUUAAACAUUAUUAAACCAAAUAGUCAAAUCACGGAUUAUAAUUUUUUAUAAUGCAUAAUCUUUAUAUAUAACUUUAGUAAAAUUAUAUAAUCUUAAUUAAAUUUAUUAAAUUUUAAAAUUUUUAUGAAAAAGAUACUUAGUUAUCUGUGUUGUUCAUAUUUGAGAAUUAUUUUUCACCAAUUUUUUUAACUUAGCGAAGUGUACAAAUUUGUAUUGAUUACGAGAAUGCCAAAUUCGAGCUAAAUUUUUUUUUAAAUGAAAAUAAACGAAUCAUUACCCAUCUGCUAUAAACAUAGAAGAAUUUCUUUUGACAAAAUCUACUAGAUGUAGACAUGUUGUUUACGUGUGCAAACGUUAGUUUUUGUCUCUUAUCAAUUCUUAUAAAAGUCCAAUGGAGGGGCAACUUUAGCCGUUUGGUUGUGAUGUAGUUAUAAAAUGGUGUAUGUUUUGAAGUAUACACCAAUUGUAACAUUUCCAUUUUAAUAACUACAUUUAGUAUGUAUUGAUUUAAUAACAGUUAGCACUGCUAGUUAUAUUUUCUUCAGUUUGAUAGUAUGGGCAGUUGAGAUUUAAAUUUAUAAAUUCUAAUCAAAUUUUAGAUAGUAAAUGUGAGAUUAUUCUUUGAGUGAUAUACGUAAAUCACUAUUUAAAUAUUAAUUAAAACUUUUAUAUUAAUAAUAAUUAUAAUUAUAAAUUUGUAUAUUGAAUUUAACUCAUAUUAACUGUAAAUAAUAUUAAUAACAUUUGUUCGAAAUAAAAAUUAAGAUAUUAUAUAACUAAAAACUAAAAAAUAGAACGUAUGAAAAAAAAUUUAUAUUGAACCUAACAAAAUAUUAAAAAUCCUAAUCAGAUUAUCAUGAAAUAUGUUUUUUGAAAAAAAAAAUAAAAAAAGAAGUAUAUGAAAAAAAUCAAUUUUGUUUAUUUUUAAAUAGGUGAGUUGACUGCUGGCUCAAAACCGCUGUAGUUGUACUACGCAUUGGCCGUAUUGUAAUGCUUAAUAAAGUUGUUGGGCUUCUCAUAGCAGAAUCAAUGCAGUAGUAUGGUUCUAAACUACACAUAAACAAACAAAAAAUUAAUAGAUGAAUGUAUUUUCAACAUGAAUGCAAUUGAAUAAUAUCAUGCCAAACAGCAAUCAGCUAAUUUAUUUUUAAAUGCAUAAACGAAAGCGAUACCCAUCUUAAAAAAAAGAAAAUUGUUUUGCAAAACCGUGCGAGAUGUGGACCAUUGCCCACGAGAAUAGACUGAUAAAGACUUGCAUAAUGAAAAAAAGCUUUAUAUUUAAAUUUGAAACGUGAUAUUGUCACAGAAAUUUUUAUUAUAAAAAAAUUAGCACACUUCUCACUUCAUUUAUUAAGGAAUUAAAUUAGACUACAAUGAUGAAAAUCGAGCGAGAGAGAUGAGGGAAAAAAAUUUAAUGUCAGAAUACUUAUUUUGCUUAUGCAAGAUUUUUUAAAAAAAGUUAUGAUAGCUUAUGUAUUAUUAAAAAUAUGCCAAUGCAUCAUAAUUGGCAUUAAAUAAUAUACAUUCAAUGGUCUUUUAAAAUGGUCAUAAAUAUUAAUAGUAAAUACCCGUGAUUAGUCAUAUCAAAAAUUGUCAUUAAUUGUUAUAAAAUAUUAUUGUUUAAGCAUUACUCGCUAGUAUUCCACGUCCAUACAUAACCCGCCUCCCAUCCUCACACCCCCAACUAACUAGCGCAUGAGACGAGCAGAUGCGCCCCUCCCCGCCUCCAUCCCCCAUUCCCAGCCCCCCACCUGAUCCCCAAUCGUUCCCCCCCCCGAACCCUACUCCCCCCACCCCCCUCAUGUAUAAGAAAGAGGGGGAGGAUUAUAGGAGAGGGAGUUUGAUUGGCAAUUACAAAAUACACCAUUAAUUUGGACGGAGUUAUAAAGCCGCAUUGAUUAGUAUGGGGGCCCGGAUUAUGUAGGCCUAGGAGGGAGUGAACUGGAUUAUAAAGUCAUCAUUAGUAGAAUAUAAUGUAUAAUUAAUUAUUCCAUAAUUAAUUAUUAAUUAAUUUAUCUCGAGUGAGUGCUAGGAAAAUCACAUUGCAGAAAAACAGAAAAAGAUAAUGAGGAAGGUAGCUGCAUUUUGGAUAAAAAUCGAGGUUUAAUAAAUUAUAGAAGAUUAUGAGAUUUAUAGAUAAUAUGACAAUAAUUAUGUUGUUCUUCCAAAACUGAAAAAUGAUACGAAGCAUGAGGAACUAAGUUUAAAUCUUAUAAUACUAAUUAUUUAAUCUUUCAUCUAACUUAGUUAAUCAAGUCAUAUUUUAAGUCUAGUUAAAACAUCUCACUAAUACAAGGAAUGAGUGUUGAUUUAAAUAUAAAAUAUUGCUUUUUAUAACUUAAGUUUUAGAGAUAAAUAAAAAUAAUAAAAAGUAUACCGAACCAAUAAAUCUAUUGAGUUGCCCACUUAAUUAACAUUAACUAAUCUAUAUUCUUAAUCUUAAUCAUAAUCAAGCGUAUUUCUAUUUUUUAUCGAUUUUUAUGUUUUUUUUUGCCAAUAUAUAGGAGGCGAUUAAUACUAAUUACAUUAGAAAAUAAAGAACGUUAACAUUAUUAUAUAUUUAAUAGCAACUUUUCAUCAAUAGAAUGCUGCAGUUACCAAAUGGUGUCCUAAAUCUAGAUAGACAAUCCAAAAUAUGAAAGCCCGAGUAGAAGUUGCAACUAAAUUUAAUUUUAAAUGCGUAACUUCAAUUUACUACUCCAAAUAGAUUUAGUAAUUUUUAUUUUGUGUUUCUGUACUCAAAAGUUGCCUUAUUAUAUAUAUUUUAUUAUUUUACAAUAAAAUUAAUAAGUUAGGAAAGUAAACUUUAUUUAUAAAAAAAAAAUCAUUAAAGUAUAUCCUGUUAACAUAAGGGUAUGUUUGGUUUACUUUUGAUCCGAAUGGGAAUCGGUUGAUAAAUCCAUGCGAAAUUGUAUUGUUUAUUAGGAAUCGGUUUGGGACUUCUCAUUCUGAGAUCGGAAUAUGGAAUGGUCCAUUAUCUUACAAAUAAGCAAGCAAUUUAACCCGUGCAAUGCACGAGUUAUAACUUAAUAUUGAGAAUUGUGAUUUAAAGAAAGUUAAUGGUGCAUGAUAGAGUUUUUAUCUUGAUAUUUUAAGUAUAUCUUAUAUUUCAUGAAAUCUGAUGUUACAUUUUGAGCAAGAAAUCUUCAAAUAGCAAGUUUUUAAGAAAGAAUAUAAAUCCUUUAGAGCUUAAUGUUCAUAAGAAAAAGUUUUAAGAGUGAAUCCAUAAUGAUUAAAGUAAAGGAAAAACAAAGUGAAUGUAAUAUUUAGACGUGUUAAGAUAUUUAGAUGAUAUAUGGGCAGGAAUGAAAUGCCAACGUCCUCUUAAACAAUAUCGAUUGUAAUAUAAUCACUAUAGUGAAAAGAAAUUUAGAAGCUUGACUUCUCACUCUAGUUUUAGGGUUUUUUUUGUUAUUUUUAUUUUUUUUAUAUUUUUUUAUAGACUAUUUUACAAUUGAAAUUUCUUAUCGAAUCCUGCUUUAAGCGUAAUUAGAUAUGAAAACAGUCAAUUUUCUAAAAAGUUCUGAUGGGAAUGUUUAAUUUGAAAAGCUUUUAACAUAAAAGUAUAAGUUAAAAUCAUAAAAAUAUCAAUAUUGAAAUGGUCUAAUGUAGGUUUUUGAAAGGUAAGUUCAUAAUAUGAAAAAGUUAAAGUUCAAAUACAUUAAAAUUUAAACAUCUUAAUUUUGUUUUUUUUAAAUAUUCAAUUUGAAAUGUGAAUGAAAUUAAACUAUCAUCAAUCCUUUACGACUAAUUCUGUAAAGUUAUAUUUUGAUAGAGAUUGCCGUGACCUACAUUUAGAAAGUAGUUUUUAGAACAUCUUGUUCGUAACACCGACUUCCAAGGGGUCCCAUCUAGACUACUCCGUCCUAGCAUGCUUAACUUUAUUAUCUCUUGGCUGCCACAUCCAAAUGCUUAGCCGGGUUAAGAGUUAUACCUAUAAUAUAUCAUAUAUUGGACUAUCAGGGUCUCACAAUUCCCUCCUUUUUAGCCUGACGUCUCGAGCAGGCUAGACUCACAGUCGGUGAUGGGGGGGGGUCGGGUGAAGCGAUUGAGACUCAUACUCGCUACCGUAUCCAGACCUCACCUCAGCCGAGCUCAUUCAACUUCCGGCUGUAAUUGCUCUGAUACAAAUGUAACACCGACUGUCCAGGGGUCACACAUCCUAGGGACUAAUCCGGUCCUAGCACGCUUAAAUCUCUUAACAUCUUGACCUUGGCACCAGCCAAAUGCUUACGGUUAAGAGUUUAGCUCCUAUUAUAUAUAUAUAUUGACUAUCAGGGGUCUCACAUUUGUAGCAUAAUUCAUAUUAUGAUUCUUUAAACUGAAAUUGCUUGUUAUUAUGAAUAUUAAUGGAUGUAUGAUCUAUCAAUUAUUUCUGGCAAAUAAACUUGACUAACAGUGAGAAUAGUGCCAUGAACUUGUAAUAAAUAUUGAAUUAUAAUAUUUAAAGUAAAGAUUUGUAACCGUUUAGUAUCAAAAACAGCGAAGUUGAAUAUGCCUCAUGCGAAGAAACGAAAAAAAAAUGUUAACGAAUUGGCAUAAGAAGCAAAAAAAACAAGAAAGCCCAAACAUAGAUUGAUGCCGAGUGGGAGGGGGUGGGGGAGAUGUGUACGAAAUCAUUUGUAAAUUGUGCGAAGAUAGAGAGGAAUUACAUCCAUAUUGUAAAAAAAAACCUAGAAAACCAAUGAAAUCAGAGUAAUUAAUUGUGGAAGUUGAAUAAGCUCAAGAAUUAAUAUUUUUAUUAAUUUGUAUUACCUUUAAUAGAGCAAAAUUAGAGAAUUACUGGAAUGUGAUAGAGAGGCGGAGGUGGAAACGUUUGCAAGGCGGUGGAGAGGCGCCAUCAUCGGCGAUAUUAGGACGGAAGCUAGUAAUUAGGGGGGAAAGAAUCCUUGUAGUUGGGAAAAAAAAAAGCUUUAAUAUCCAUAGAAUAAAUAUAAGAAAAUGUGAAAUAAAAAUAUCUGGAACAUAUUUUAAUACUAAUUUUGGUUUUUAAAAAGUAGAAUGUGAAUUAAAAAUGACUUAAAAAAUUAUGGAGACGCAUAUUUAACAAUUAUAUUUUAUACUUAUUUUAUUUUAAAAAAUAAUAAUUAGCUAUUAUAUAUACAGAAAAAAUAUAAAAAGAAUAUCAAGUUUCAAUAUCAAAAUAUGUUGGUAUUAUGGUUAUGAUUUCUUCUAAUUACUUAAGAUAUUAUAUAUAAUAUUUGUAAAAUAUAUAUAUAUUGGUGAUAAUUUGUAUUUUAUUAUAAAACUGCGCCACGUGGCAUAUAUGGAAUUCCUAUGUAAUUGGGCACUGGCAGCAUAAUGGUUCACUGAAAUGCUUCCAAAUUAUAUUAAUAUAUAUAUAGAUAUUAUAUAUAUAUAUAUAUAUUACUAUAUUAUAUAAAUUAUAAGUAUAGGAUGUGGAGGGCUACUAUGCUAUCGUGAAGCACGGAGCUUCCUAGCUUCAGCUCGUUUUUCGAUUGUUCGCGACUUUCGAAUCGUCGAUUCGGCCCGCUCCGUUAAACUUGAUCUAAGAGUAUUUGAAGUAUAUAGAAAAGUAAAUUUUAUGAUUUUACGAUAUCAUUUGUUAGUAACGAAGGGUUGAAAAUCAAUGCUGAAAAUAAAUAAUAAUUUACAAAAUGUAAUAAUUUGACGUAUUAAAAAUUUAAAUCAAAGAUUCUGAUCUAUUUAUAUAGUAAUAAAGAAUUUUCUAUCAAAAUUUCACGUGGUUUGAUAUAUUCUACAGAACGCGUUAAUCUUGCAAACGCUCACUACGGCCAUUAAAUUGUUGAUUUUGAGCCUACUCGAUUCACUAGGCAAAUAUAUCUAAAACAAUAAAAUUUAUUAUUCUAGUAAUCCAAUAACCUAGAUUCAAAGGUUUAUAUGGAUGCCAGAUCGACGAUUAGAUAAAAGUGGAAAUCGAAACAAGGUGACAUCACGAAGGCUCGUGUAUCCGAUAUGCCUAGUAGCCUACACUCUAAUAGUAAUUAGUAGUAUAUAUAUGAUAGGUAAUAUGUAUACUCGAGUCAUGAUUCGGUCUCAGGCCAGGACCCGGAUUGAGUUUCAAUUUCCAAGGCCAUACUCAGCUCUUCCUCAAGCAGUACGCCCAACUUUGCUCAUCUACUCAUUCUUAUUCUCCAUAUACACAUCUUUUCCUCUUUGUCAUCAUUUAUAAAACUACAUGAUAUAUUUAAUUUUGUUAUUAAUUAUUCAAAAAAAUAUGCUUUUUUGUAAUUUUUUGCAUAUAAUUUUUAAAAUAAAUUCCUUUUUUUUUUUGCAUAGCUCUAAUUUGAGAAUAGUAUUAAUUUUUUUUUAUAAAUUUUAGAUAGUUUUUAGUAAAAUUUAUAUUAAAAGUAAUUAAAUUAUUUAUUCUAAUUAUUUUUUACUUUGAUGAAUCAUAGUAAAAUAGGCAGUAAAUUGGCAUACCUUCAAUAUUUCAAUUCAAAAUGAACCCCCCCACCGCAAUGUCGACCAAACGUCUGGAAAAAUAGGCAAUUAAUUGCCAUUUAAAUUCAUUUCUACAUAUUUCAGUUAUUCUAUUAAUUCCAAUCUUGACGGGUGGAAACAAUCUUAAAAUUUAUAUAAUAAAUAAAAUUAAAUAUUAUGAGAAUAGUUAAGUAUGUAUAACUUUUCAAACCACGUAAAAAGUGAAUUAAAAAAUAUUAAACAACAGUAAAAAAAUUAAAAUUACUCGAUCCCAAUUCAUUCAUUUUCUUCAUCCAAAGAUUCUACAAUCUCAUUCUCUCAACGACAUUCGAGUGCAAAUUAAACAUAUAUAUGGUACACCAAAAGUCAAAUCAUGCAUUAUAAUUUUUUAAUGUAUAGUUUUUUUAAACUUUAUAAAAUUAUAUCAAACAAAUUAAAUUUUAAUUUAGAGGAAAAUAUAAUUAGUUACACAUUUUAUUCAUUUUGAGAUCUUUUUUUAUCCCCAAGUAAAACCUAGUAAGAGAUGUAGUGCCAAUAUACAUAUACUGAUCCUUGAAAACGUUUAGAAUGUAUCCGUUAUCUUGAUAAAGUGGCAUCUCCAGUCAAUCAAAGAAUUUUUUUAAAAAUUUAUUCGUUCCAUAAUAAUUAUAAAAAGUAUAAUUUUAUUAUAUAUUUAAAAAUAAUUAUUAUUAAUUUAUUAUUAAUAAUAUGAUAUUAUUAUUAAUAAUGUAAUGUAAGUACGAUUAGGGCUGGCAAACAAGCAAGCCGGCUCGCGUUCGACUCGUGUUCGGCUCGAUAUUCGGCUCGCUCGAGCUCNAAGAUACUUCAAAUGGUAUAUAUAUCAUUUUCAACAAUAUCGAUCGCCGAUUUGGAGGCUCCAUCAUCGACGCUAACCCGAUUCCAAUUCAUUCAUUUCCUUGAUCCAAAAGAUUCUACAAUCUCAUUCUCUCAACGAUAUCUGAGUGCAAAUUAAACAUAUGGUACACCAAAAGUCAAAUCAUGCAUUAUAAUUUUUUAGUGUAUAAAUUUUUUAAACUUUAUAAAAUUAUAUCAAACAAAUUAAAAUUUAAUUUUAAAAGUUUUUAGAGGAAAAUAUAAUUAGUUACACAUUUUGUUCAUUUUGAGAUCUUUUUUUAUCCCCGAGUAAAACCUAGUAAGAGAUGUAGUACCAACAUGCCUAUGCUGAUCCUUGAAAAUUUUUAGAAUGUAUCCGUUAUCUUGAUAAAGUGGCACCUCCAAUCAAUCAAAGAAUUUUUUUAAAAUUUAUUUGUUCCAUAAUAAUUAUAAAAGAUAUAAUUUUAUUAUAUAUUUAAAAAUAAAUAUAAUUAGUUUAUUAUUGAUAAUAUGAUGUUAUUAUUAUUAUAUUUUUUUGAGAGAAAGAUAGUAUACUAUUAUUUUAUUUUUAUAUCAUUUAAAAAUAAACUAAACUGAAAAUGUAAAUUAAUAAAUAAUAAUAUUAUUAAUGAUGUGAUGUAAGUAUGAUACAGUAAAUUUUUUUUCCGCCAGGCCAUCUAUAAUUCCUUUAAGGACAAAUAACUGCAUGCAGUUCAUUCUUUCUAUAUUAUUAGGAAGCAUUUUGCUCGUCCUUUGUUUGGACAGAUGCAAUCAUGAAUGAGGGGGCCCCGACAAACCUUCACUCCGUACACAAGGGUUAUUGCAGCUGAUGUGUUGUUUAUUGGAAUCUCAUAAAUUAUUAAUACCGUCCAGGCUCUCUUGAGCGAUUAGUCUCUAUCCAAAAUAAUCGUGAUAGUUACAAAAUACUUAUUGUAGCAUUGCCUAUUAUAUGUCAUUUGUGUCGCUUAAAUAUUCUAUAGCUGAUAUUCGAAAUUUUUUGAAAAUGCCCUCUAGAUAUUUUAUCAAUAAUUUUCAUCAUCACGCAUACAUCACAUAAAUAAUUUAAAAUUUAAAAUUUAAAAUUAAAAUUCAAAAUUUUAAUUUUAAUUUAAAAUUUGAUACAGAUCUGAAUUUAAAUUUUAAAUUUGAGUUCAAAUUUUGAACUUAAAAUUGCAAGUCAAUUUUAAAUCUAAAUUAAAUUUGAAAUUCAAAUUCAAAUUUAUAUUUUGAAUUUGAGUUUCAAAAUAAAACUUUGAAAUUAAAUAUAAAACUAAUUAAAAAUCUAGAUUUGAAAGUAAAAUUAGCAUAAAAUCUUAAUUUGAAUUCAAGUGAAUUUGAGUCCUCUUCGAAUCCAAAAUCAAAAUUUUAAAUUUUAAAUUUAUAAUUAAAAUUAGAUUAAAUUAAUAUUAAAAUUCAAAAUUAUAAUGUAAAUUUGAGCGAGUCUAUGAUCGGAGUUUAAAUUGAAAAUUGAAUUAAAAAAAUCUAAUUUAAAUUUUGGAAAUAUUUCGAGAUAAAGUUGAUAUUUUAAAAUUGUAGUAGCAGCUUGGAACUAAGAUUAGGAUAACACCCCGUGACGUGAGAUAAAAUAAGAAAUAUUUAUGAUAUAACUCAUUCUAUUGGAAGAGCAUAUAUGAUAUUUUAAUAUUUUUACAAGUAUCUGCNNNNNNNNNNNNNNNNNNNNNNNNNGUGUUUUUCUUUUCGGUUUUUUUGAAAGCAAAUUGUUCGAAUACUAAGGAGCCGUUUUUUCUCGGUUUUCCGCUUGGUUCACAUGGAUAAUAAUAUGGCUAUAUCCGGCCGAAUUACUAAACACAGUGUCCACCACGGGGUACUGUAAGAUAGAAUCAAACUCGAGUAAAGGUUAUAAAAAAAACAUCCUCAAAUUCUCUUCACUUAUUCCAUAUUAUUGGCACAAAAAUAAAUUUUACUUGCACCAACAUUGUCACUCGCCUCGAGACCUCGCCACAUUGUCACUAACAACAAUUAAUUUCUGACACGCGAAUUUUCUCGCCUAAAAUCAAUCUCAUUUCUUACACAAAAUCUAAAUUUCUGUUUCCAUUCUUCUAAUCCAAUACAAAAUAGUAUUUUACCUAUUUUAUUUACAUCUUAUUUUAUCUUAUCCGGUAUAUUAGCCACUGUAACAUCUUGUGCAAUCAUAAAGUGGUGACAGGUACAAGGAAUGCUAUUCUAACUUGCCACGAAGUGAUUCAAAGUCAUACCUUAUUAUCGUUAUCAGCCCGAGAGACGACUGUCUCGCUGAGAUCAGUAGGAAGAAAUAAGGGAUUUGGUGCUAACGUAGGUAACUCCGAUGAUCCAAAUUCGAACUCUAUUUGAUUCAUACAUUUUAGCUAAUUAUAUUAUAAAUGAAAUAAACAAAGCGAAGGGGUAUUAUGGACUCAAGCCCCUUUGUAGAUACCUCUCAAGAAAAAUAAGGAGCAAACUCAUCAUUCAAAUUAUUCAAAUUAUAUCGCGAUCGAUAUAUACUCAGGUUUUUUCCUUGAAUGCUGAUUUCAAUUGAGAGAGAGAGAAAGCAUCCGUUCUAAAAUUGGAGGGAGGCUGACGAAAAGAUCUGUGCCAAACAUUUCUGGCAACGAGGGUUGGUGAGGGAGGCCUAAAGGUGCCAGAGAGUUUAUGACCGGAGGCUUCAUUAGCUACUCAACUCAAAAUCCUUACUACUAUCGAAAAAAUACUCCUACAAAAUAAUAAAUUAAGCUUCAUGUUAUCGGUGUCGCAUGUCAAAAUAGCAUCCAUCCUAAUCGAUUUGUUUGUUUUUGUUUUGUGUGGUUCAGGUUCUACAUAAAAUUUGCAAAUACCCUAUAACAGGAAAUAUAAAAUACCAUGAUUAAAGCGGGGAACAUUAAUGAAUUGUCAGAAAACUUUGAGAUAUAGCCAAUAGAAAUCAUAGGCAAACAUUACCGAUAUACAAUUUAUCCCUAUAAUCACGUUUAUGCUCUACUAGGUUACUUGCCCAUAGAUUAAGCAUUCCUGAUUAGUAAGGCGUGUGAGCUCAUCACCAGAAUCCUAUAUCAACUUCUCCUAUUUUUUUUUCUCUUAUCUCUUUCUUGAAUCUAAUCGGUUUUUUUUAUUUUCAUAAUUACUUUGAACAACCGAACUGAUCAUGGGUUCGAGUGGUAGACUCCUCUGAAAACCCGCUCAUUAAGUAUUUUAGUCACACGCUAUACUCUUCUCACCUUUUCUUUACUACGUGAACGAUGUGCUAAUUUCUCUCGUUCUUACCUGAAACGAAUUAUAUCAACUCGUGUUCCAAUCUGGGGUGCUAGAACCAGAGCCAACUGCUCCCACAUGUUUCCCAUCUUUGAACCAAUUUUUUCUUUUUUUUUAUUAUUUAUAUCGGAUCAAUCUCACUAUAGAGUGUGGUUUAUAUCCCAAUAUCCCGUCUCAAGCUUUUCUUGUUUUGUUGCUUGAAUCGAAUCGUAUUUUUUUUUUUUUUUGCAUUGAACGCAAACUGGAUCACAACUUCUGCAUUAAACAAACUAUAGUCUUUUCCUCUUCUUCAACUUUAUCUCGUUUAUCACAGCGGGAUAAAUCUCCUCAUCCGUCACUAGGUUCAUUGUCGUUUACUUCUUUGCGCCGUUUUUAGUUUAUUCCUCUUAAUUAUCUCUAUCACAUCCGCAACAGCUCAAAAUCGCACGGGUUACUAUACUACAUAUCACCGUAUGGUAAUAAAACUAAAUAUUUUAAUAACAAGUUAAUGAACGAGGCAUUUUUUCAAUCAAGAAACUAUAUCACUGGAGCUAUUACACUUAUAAUAUUUAUGACAUUUAAAAGAGCACGAAUAUAUUAUAUUUUACAAGGGGAGCUUGUGAUGUUAAGUACAUACGCGUGGCGUCUUAUAAGAUUUUUUGUCAAAAAAACUUUCAUAAUGCUUAAACACUAUCACUGAACAAUAGUAUUUUAAAUUAAGAUAAAACUUUUAAUCCUGGGCACGUCUCUUAUCAGCUCCUUAUAUUCCCGUGUGCAACAACUGCUCCAUACAUUUGAAUAACACACAUCACUUGUCAAUAAAGUCUGUCCCCCAUGCCUCAUGCGACUUUACCUCAAUGCUAUUGAUAAGAGACAAAAUAACGGUUUGCACACGUACACCAUUGGUCUACAUCUAAGUUUGAUUUUGCCGAAAAAAUACGCAUUGCACGACGUACAACAUUAAACACUUGGUUCAUACAUCUAGUGCGGUUUCUGGCCAAAUAAUAACCGUUUCCGACGACAGCACUACUAUUUGUGUCUUUAAACAUGGGUAGGUGUGAGAGAGAGGAGAAUUUCACUGUUUUUUUUUAAGACGAUGGGGUAGGUUAGGAUCUACUUCGAUUUGUUUAUUUAAUGAAAAAUAUAAUUUAGUUCGAAUUUAGAAUUUUCGAAUACGCGAACCACCAGUGCGUCUUUAUUAUUGCCCUAGUAAUAUCGUGCCAAAAAGAAAAUUCUCAAAAUGAACAAAACGAAUAACUAAUUAUCUUUUCCCCUAACACAAUUUGAAAACAUUAAUUAAAAUUAAUUAAAUUUGAUAAUAAUCUUAGUUAAGAUUUUAAAAAGAUUAUACAUUAAAAACAUUGUAUAAUCCGUGAUUGAUUAUUGGUUAAUACAUGUUUUAAUUUGCACUCAGAUAUCGUUAGAAAUGAAAUUGUAGAAUCUUGAAGGAACAAAUGCAUGAAUCGGGACUGAGUAGUAUAAGAAUUUAAUUAGGUAAUGUUUGUAUUUUUUUAGGGCUCGUUUAAUUAUUUUUUCCAGCAUUUGUUAUUAUGCGGUUUUGAAAAGUUAUACUUAACUAUCCUAUAAUAUUAGAUAUUUAUUUUCUUGUAAAGAGACUUAUGAGUGUUAAACAGAACAAAAAAUUCAUCAUGCUAAAAACUGAUGUCAAAAGUCUAUUUUUGAUAAAAAUAAAAUAAAAAUCGACAUAGAAUGUUAAAUGCAACCUUAAAACUACAUAACAACAAGUGAAACUCCACUAAAUUACAGGGUAGGGGUUGGGUAUCGAAUUUUCUCUAGUAAAUGACUUAGUGCAAACUUAAGAACUUAGGCUUCCUUAGUUGAUUGCUUUAACUAAGGACCUAUUUGGCGUACUUGUAAGUCAUCUAUGAGUUGAAACGCUGGUUGGGAGUUAAAGUCAUAUAAAGAUUACUGAUCAUUAAUUUCUAAAGUUGAACAGUACGGAAUGAAUAUACAAAGUUUAUUAUAAUGAAAAAAGUCUAAUUUAUGAAAAGAUGUAAACAUUAUUUAUUAUAAUAAAAUUUAAGUAAUUAAAGAUGAGUUUUAAUAUCUAUCUACUAACUACUAGAAAAAAUUACAUGUAAAUACACGUAUAAUAAUUAUUAAAAAAAGUAUAAAUUUUAUAAUAUAUAUUUCAUAAUUAUUAGCCCAUAAUUAUAUAUAUGAAUUGCCAGAUAUGUAAUAUAAAAAUUAAAAUAAUAAAUCAGCUAAUAUAAAAAAGAAUUGCUAUUAAAUGAACAAACUAAUUAACAAUAAAUCAUUAAUACAAACAAUACAUAUUAUAAAAUAUCUCUAAUUGGCAAAAAUUAUUAUAAAAUUAAAACUAAAAAUAAAAUCUGUUAGAAAUAAUUUACAUUAAAUGAAAUAAAAUCACGUUAUAUAAGAAAAUAAUAAUAUUGAAUUAAAUAGAAAAUAUCUAAAAAAGAUAUUUAAACUAAACAUAAAAAUAAUCUUUUAUAGAUAUUUUCAGCACACCGUAAUCUGUUAUAGACCGAUAACUUAACAUUGAAUUAAAUAUUAUAUUAUAAAGAUCUUCUAAGAUAUCGUAUAGACGCCUCAUGAUAUCAACACGCUGUAUACUUACAUCUAAUAAAAUAAUCAUUUAUUCUUAUAUAUAAAUUUUCGAAUCAGCAAAAAGAUAUUCUAAUUUAAAAUUUAAUCGGUAAGAAAAUAUCUUAUAUUAAUAAAAAUUCGUACGGCAAAGAGAAAAAUGGCGCUAAAUAUUAUUCAACAAGUGAAAAAAUUAGGAUCAGAUAGACAGCAGUCCAAAUAUUGAAUAUACCGUGCUUUUAUAUAUAGUAAUAAUAUAUAUAUAUAUCAUAUAUAUAUACGUUAUGGUUGGACGUGGCAAAAGCUACUAUUACGUAGCAAAAUCUCUAUAUGCUGGACCAGUUUGUUUAAGCUUUUGGGAUCAACUCUUUCAUUAUUCUCAAACAAUUGGAUUGAAAUACUAUAUAUCCAUUAGAGACGCCAACUCAACCCCAGGGGGACACUUCAACUAUAUUAUUGACUAAUAUCAUCCUACCUCACAAUUUUUCAUCGCAAGUUAAAAACUUGAUAGCAAAUAAGAGCGUUUUACUAUUAAUAGAUUUAGCUAAUUCAUAUAUAUCUGAGUGGGUGAAUUAUGCUACUAUACUGCAAUAAGUACCAGCCCUUGUAACGUAUGAGUUUUGGCCGUUGGAUGAAAGGAGUGCGGUUAGUUUGAUAGUGUCCUGAGGUCAGUGGUCGUGCGUGGGGCUUAAAUAGUAUACGUCUAACGGUGGAAAUAAUCAAAGAGUACAUCGUGCUAACGGUAAAAACUCAAAUAGACCAAAGGCUUGGUACUAUCCAUAUACAGUAGCCGGACAUCAUAUAGUAUAUGUAUAUAUAUAUAUUAACAUUAGAAUUCGGUAAUGCGUCUGGUACUCCGGCUUUUUUUCCUGUGGGAUUUUGAGAAUUCGCCACAAACCCGCUCGAUACCAGAUGUACCGUGGAUUCGAGCCGUGAUUGUUGGUCUCGAUUACACAACGAAAGCUCGAAUCGAGAAUUUUUUACUAUAAACUCGUAUUCCUACAAAAGCUGAUACUAAUUCACAAAAAAGAUAAAAAACCAAAGCAAGUGCGAAAGAUCGAGGUGGAAAGGCUGGCAGGGGUUUCAAGCCUCCGCUCUUUGCCCCUCCGCUGGCUUCUCGACGAGAGACAUAAAAAAAUAAACAGAGAGAAAAAAGAGGAGAAGAAAGAGGAGAAGAUAAAAAUAAAUAAAGUUUUAGAUCAGUUUGCUGGAAAAUUCAAGCCGAAGUCUACAAAAACACGAAAAAACAGUCACAUCUUUGCAAAAAACCCAAAAAAAUAGUGAAUUUUUAUGCAAAUUGCCUUAAUUUAAUAAUUCCAUCUUCACUUAUUUGACAGUUAAAUUUUACUUACCAACUACUUAUUUAUAGUCGAUUCUUGUGCAUAUAAAAAUAGGUAAGUCUAAGCCUAUCCUUUUUAAUGAUUAUUCAGAUAUAUUUUAUCAAAGGUGAAAUCUGGACAGCUAAAAAUUCGAUCCCUUCAGAUUUUUGGCGAAAUUGUGGGGGAUUUUCCCCUAAAAUAGGUAACUUUUUUUUGCUUAAAGUGCUUGUAAUUCUGUUACUUGCAUUAAGAACACUGUCUAAAAUUAGUAACUACAUAAACCUCUGUCAAGGGGAUCAUUUUCAAUUUUGAAAUGCGGGACAGUCUUCAUAACUAAUUCUCAAACAACUCUUAAACACCGCAAACUAUAUAUAUAUAUAUAUAUAUAUAUUAUUGUUUAGAAUAUUAGCUGCUUAUAUAGUUGUCCACAUUUCACACUUGGAUCUAUAAUGUGAUUUGAAUACUCAUAAAAGGUGAUUGAUAGCAUACAAAAUUAUCCACUUUUAACAUGCAAAAGACAUAUAUAGACUGUACGUAAAAUUUACUUUUGUCUCAAUAAAUGAAAGAUGAAAUGGUUAAUUUGAUUUGAAAUUUUGUUUUUCUCCUGUUCAACUCGUUACGUAACUUUAUUUUCUGUAGAUAUAUGAGAUUUGGGUAAAUUGCACUCCAUGUCUCUAAACUUAAAUUUAGUUUUUCUUCUUUUUUUUUUCUUUUUUUUUUUAUGGAUAGGUAGCAUGCUACCCGCUUCGUUUUAUUUUAUUUAGAAAUAAACUUAGCUGGAAAUGUGAAUCAAUUAGGAUUCGAACUUGGGUCUCAGAUACCAAUCACCAAGCCUUUUUCCACUUCUAGGGACGGUCGGUUAAAUUUAGUUUUUCCACUUCUAAGGACGGUCGGUUAAAUUUAGUUUUAAAACUUCUAAAUUUUGUAUAUUUUUAAGACCGGACUAUUGAUUAUUUGAAUUAUAUCAUUUUAGUCCUUAUUCUGCGUACUCUUUUUUUUUUGAGAGAUAGAUAACAUGCUACCCGCUUCGCUUAUUUCAUUUAGAAAUAAACUUAGCCGGAAAUGUGAAUCAACCAGGAUUAGAACUUGGGACCUCGAGUACCAACCAUCGAGCCCUUUGCCAUUUAUGCUAGGGACGAUCGGUAAAAGCUAGCGUACUCUAAUAACCUUCACAUUAUGUAUACUAUUUUAUUUUUAUCUAAAAAGAAACUAAACACAAGUACUCUAAUAAUAUAAUUUUGUAUUUUGUAUUUCAAUUAUAUGUACUUUCCAUAUAUAUUGACCCUCACGUUACCCCAUAAAUAUUCAAAACAAAUAAAUCUACUAAAAUAUUAUUUUUGAGAUAUUUUCGUAUCAUAAUUUUGCAUGUGCAGGUGCAUGACUUUUCAAAUUGUCUUGGAGCCAUCCCAAUUAUUUUGCAACCAACGUAUUCAAUCCGGGGACAACUCAAAUUUAAUUAUUGGAGCAAGAAAAUGUAAGGAAACCCCUAAACUAUAGGCGACUUUAAAUAGCUCCUUCAAUCUGGUUUAAUUCUCUCUCGUUUAGGAGUGUAAACGAGCUGAACACGAGCUGACUCGUUAAAAUAUCGUGCCGAAAAAUUUAGCUUGUGUUUGGCUCGCUAAUAAACGAGCCGAACACGAGCUGGCUUACAAACAAUAAGUUAAAAGUAUUAAAUUGAAUAUAUAUACAAAAUAAAUAUAUAAAAUUUUAUCCAUUAAACUUUAAGAUUAAUGGGUAUUUUUUCACAUCCUUUUACUCUAUAUCAAUUGAAGUAAGGACUCCUUGCUUUAAGUUCUAAAAUAUUCAAUAGUUUUAUAUAUAGGAACCUGGGGUUUCCCAAACUAAGAAUUACCUAUUCUAAUACUAUGCGAAAUAAUAUGACACAACGAUUGUUCUCCAAAAAUUUAAAGAUGGCUCAGAGGAUAAGGCACUAAUUAAGUUUGAAUCUUAUCGGGCAAUAGGUUCAUCCAAUUUCUUUUUAUUUUAUUUAAUUUAAUUCAAGGUCAUAUUUUAAAUUUAUUAAAACUUCUCGAGCCUAAACAAGAGGUAGAGUGUUAUAUAUAUAUAUAUAUAUAUAUAUAUAUAUAUAUAUAUAAUUCUGCUACUAUACUUUAUGAUAUAUUGUCCUCUGUACUCAUAAUUAUUUCGAUAGAUUCAGACUUCCGAAUCAACGAUCCACAUCAAUUAACUUUAUUAAACAUUUAAAAUUUCUAGAAAUCAAAUUUUUAAUUUUUCACAUCAUUUCACCUUCACUCAAAACUUACAAAAUUGACAAAUUUAACAGCCGGUAUGUAAUACAUUGCUAGUUUAACGGUGUAAAAGAAUUGGAAUAGAUUGAAUUUUUGAUAGAAAUUCUAUUCACUAUCUAAUGAAAGAUUAUAAACUCUAAUCUUAAAUUGAAGGAUCCGAUCAUCCAUUUUUAGAACACCUCGUUCGAUUUUGACCGUUCAUUUUCUGCCCGUUGAUGAUUCUUUAUUGAUUUGGAAAAAUUAAAAAUUUAUUUUUUAAAAUUUCAAAUACUCUAAGUCAUAUUUAAACGGAGUGGAUCGUCGAUUCGAAGCCUAAUCAUUAAAAAAACUUAUGAGUACGAAGAGGUCCAAUACUCAUAAGAGUAUAGUAGCCUUACUAUAUUAUAUAUAUAUUAUAUAUAUAUAUAUAUGUAAUAUAUAUAUAAUAUAGUUGCUUAUAAUUCCUAAUCUUUCUGAAAUAUCCGAUCUACCCCUACUUUUUUUUUCUUUCUAAAAUGCCCUCAUAUGUUCCACCGUUAUUCCAAAAUACCUCCGCAGUUAUCCCUGUUAUGUUUACUUGAGUUAAGCAUGGAUUAAUGUAUACCGCGAGUUAAAAACUAAUUAAAUACCCUAUUUUGCCCCUUACCAUUAUUAAACAAUUUAUUAAAUUAUCUUUUUUUUCUCCUCCAACUUCAUCCUUCUCUCUCUCUCUUCUCUGCUCUCCUCUAACUUGGUCCUGCCCCCGCCGCCCGCCACCGAGCACGCCCAGGCACUCACCACCACCACCAACGCUGCAACCAGCUCCUUCUCGCCUCCGACCUCGCCCCCUAAGACUCGCGUCAUUCGCACAAAAAAAACGGCCCUAGUCCGCCGCUCUCGAUGCGCCUUCCUCCUCCCCGCCGCUUUGCUGUGCCGCGGAGCAAGAGGGCCCCAGCGAUUUUGUGCAGCAAUCUCGUCGCGUUCGUCGUCCCUCCUUUCUGUCACAUUUCGAUCAUCGCUGUGUGUUCGCGGUCGACAUCGUCUCGCACCACGGUAGCAUCAUCGUGCCUUCCACCUCUCGACCCAUCGCUGUGGACGUCUUCUUCGUUCUGAAAACCCAUUCUUGUCUCUGCUUCCCUUCGGGAACAGCCGCUCCAUCACCAAUAUUGCCUCAUGGUCGCCAACCUCGAGGUUUGAGAGUGCGACGGUGUCCGAGGUUGAGGUGUGUCGCGCUGCCGGAGGAGGGGAACGAGGGAGAGGUGUUUAUGAGGAGUCAAUUGGAGAGUUAAUUGGCGAGAGUUAAAACUUAGGUGAUAGUUCAAUUGAGAGUUAAUAGGAUGAAUAGUUAAUUCAUCUGAGAUUAAUUGGAAUACAAGAUAGUCUUCUGUUCUGCAGCUACAAUCUAAGAUUUAAUUAAUUAUUUUUAAAUAUAUUAACUCUUUAUAUUAUUACAUAUAUAUUAUUAUAAUUUAAAUAUAUAAUAUUUACAUAUAUAUAUAAAAAAAAUUAAAAUAAAUACAUAUAUAGUAUAUUAUAUUAUAUAUAUUUAUUAUAAUUAAUCGAAUUUUUAUAUUCCCGAUUUUAAUUGGUGAAUCAUAAUACCCGCGUAAAAAUAAGCUUAUCUGAAUAAUUGCCGAAUCCGGAUUUUUUAGCCGUAUAUUUUCAACAAAUUUAAAAUAAAAAGAUACGAAAAUAUAUCCGAAUUUUAUCCGUACCGAAUUUUUGCCGAAUCCGAAUUAACUAACUAUGCCUCCAACCACCAAGGUUUGUUUAGCUGCGAUCGAUCUCAUUCGUUUAUCUGCUCGCUCCCGACGUGCUUAAUUAAUUAAUUAAAAUUUGAAGGGCAAAUAAGAAAAGUAUUCGCUAUAUAAAGGGUAUAUAAGAAAAGUUAGUUACGGUAGAAGGGUAUAUUAGAAUGGAUAAAAUGGUAAUUUUACAGAGAUAACGGCAGCUCACUAAUGGAACUUAACUCCAGGGAUAUAUUAGAAAAGCUUGGAACAUAAGAAGGGUAUUUUCAAUAUAUAUAUAUAUUGAAACACCUCUCUUUAAUAACUUAAGUUUCUAUAUAUAAAUAAUUGUUUCUCAUCCUUUCAUAGAUUUAACUUUUUUCAUAUUAUAAUAAAUCAAUUAUAAUAUUAUUCCUACGGUUCCAUUAGAAAAUAAUGAAGUAUAUCUUUAUAUGAUUUAACUCCAACCAAGUUUCAUCUACUAGCAUGCUUCAAUACCCAAAUAGGUGCUAAGUCACAAGACAAUCCAAAAUAAGGAAAGCCCAAGUUCUAAGUUGGCACUAUAGUUAAUUUACUGAGUAAAAUUCAGUGGAGUUUUACUUUGUUCUCAUGUAGUUUAAAGGUUGCAUUUAACUAUCAUGUGAUUUUUUAUUUUUAUUUUAUUGAUAGAACUUGACAUCAGUUAAAAAUUAAUUUUUUUGUUCUGUUUAACAAUAAGUCUUUACAAGAAAAUAAAAUUAAUAUUAUAGGAUAGUUAAGUAUAACUUUUCAAACCGCAUAAUAACAAAGUGAAAAAAUAUUAAACAACAGUAAAAAAAUUUAAAAAUUACCUAAUUAAAUUCAUCAUACUUACUCGAUCCCGAUUCAUUCGUUUCCCUUCAAAGAUUCUACAAUCUCAUUCUCUCAACAAUAUCUGAGUGCAAAUUAAACAUGUAUUAAACCAAAAAUCAAAUCAUGGAUUAUAAUUUUUUAAUGCAUAAAUCUUUUAAACUUUAUAAAAUUAUAUCAAAUUAAUUAAAUUUUAAUUAAUUUUCAAUUUUUUUAGGGGAAAAGAUACUUAAUUAGUUAUCCAUUUUGUUCAUUUUGAGAAUUUUUUUUGGCAUCGACUGUCACUAGCGCAAGUGGUAAGGAGUUUGGUGGUCGGUAUCCGAGAUUUGAAGUUCUGACUUAAGUUUAUUUCUAAAUGAAAUAAAUAAAACGGAUAGUAUAUAUGUUAUCUAUCUCUUUAAGAAAAAAAAAUUUUUUGGCAAAACCUAGGAGAUGUAGACCCAAUGUGUGCGUGUGCAAACGUUAUUUUUGGCAAAACCUACGAGAUGUAUACCCAAUGUGUACGUGUGCAAACGUUAUUUUAUCUCUUAUCAAUCGUUAGUAAAGUUGGCAAACAAACUAGGAGAUGUAGACCCAAUGUGUACGUGUGCAAACGUUAUUUUUGGCAAGAACUACGUGAUGUAGACCCAACCCAAUGUGUACGUAUUUUGUCUCUUAUCAAUGAUUAGUAAAGUCGCAAUCGAGAAGGGUACAACUUUUAUUGCAGCUGAUGUGUUGUUAUUGGAAUUAUGGGAGCAUGUGUUGCCCAACGGGAAUAGGACUGAUAAAGACGCGCAUGAAUUAAAAAAGUUAUAUUUAAAUUUAAAAAAUACUAUUGUUCAGAAUAGUUGUUUAGCAUCAUGAAAGAUUUUUUUAAAAAAAAUUUAUGAAUGCCACGCUUAUGUAUUAAAAUAUCACAAUGCCCUCAUAAAUUAAUAAUAUCAUUCAUGCUCUUUUAAAUGGUCAUAAAUAUUGUAGUAAAUAGCUCCAGUGAUUAGUCUCUAUUGAAAAAUCUCGUCAUUAAUUAUUAUAAAUAUUUAUUUUUUUACCAUUAUGUACUACUAGUAUAGUUACCCGCGCAAUGCGGCGGAUAGGUAUUAUCGAAAUAUUAGAUUUUUAAUUCAAUCUAACUCAUCUUAAAUAGAAAUUAUCAAAUAAUUAUAAAAAUUACUGUAAAAUAGAUUAAAAUUAGAUUAAAAAAAUAGAAAAUAAGAAGAGAGAAAAAAAUAAAAAAUAGAGAAACUCUCACUUAAUGUUGGUCUCUAAGAAGGCGAGGCUUGCCAAUAUUUAGUGGUUCAAUGAAUCUACAUUAAUUAGCAAUAAAAUCAAUACCAAGUGUGUUAUUUUGUUAAUUUGAUAUUUAGAUAGAGGGAGUGGUUUCAUUUAUUUAUUUAUUUAUUUAUGAGGAUGAAGGGAUGAAGGGUGGCUUGCCACGUGGCAAGAAAUAUUGUGCUUUCAUUUAGAUUUAUAGAUUUAUAGAUUUAUAGAUUAUAGAUUUAUAGAUUUAUAGAUUUGUAGAUUAGAAUUUUAGGGUGAUUUUCAUUAUUUUAAAGUUAAUAUAUCAUAUUUUAAAAUUGGAAAAGAGUACAACCUACAAAUAAAAAUCCGAUUCUAUUAAAAAAAAAAUAAAAAGUAGAGAUAAGCCGGUNCCGAUUCGAUUAAAAAAAAUAAAAAGUAGAGAUGAGCCAGUUCAAUAAAAAAUCAGUUUCGACACAAAAUAUAUAACAAAAAUAUGUCGAUUCAGCUCAAAAAAAUAAAUAGAAAGAAGAAGAGGUUCAAAAAAGAAUAAUUGAAAGAAGAGAAAAAAAAUCGAAUUCAAAGAAUAUAUAUAACAAAAUAGAUCAGUUCGAAUUAAAAAAAUUUAAAAAAAAAAUAAAAUAUGUAAAAAAAACUUGUUGGUUCGGUUCAAAGAAGAAUAUAAUUGAAAGAAAAGAAAAAAAAAUUAGAAAAAUUUUAAACUAAGGAAGAAGUGCCACGUCAUCUUACACAUUGGGGAUUAAUAAUGACUCAUACCAGGUUCACAUAUAACCCAACCAUACUAAGCCCAUUUGACCCUAACACACACACACACAUAUAUAGGUAUGACUCACAUCAAAAUGACUAACACAAACCAUGCAAACCUACGUGCAUGGGCCACCACUUUAACAGUUAAAAACACCAUACACCAUUUCUCGAUUCUAGUGGGAUGCUGGCCCUGGAGAGAUAGACGCCGGGGCCGGCGGCGGCGGCGGCGUUGACGGGUCGGAGGAAUCAUUUGCUGGAUAGCAGUAGCCGCGCAGUAUGUCUCCUUCUUGAGCCGUGAAGCCGAGGGACGCCAGCAAGACGUCGGUGGCCCAACAGUGAUGCUCGAUGACGCGAAUGGCCCGGCAGCAGCUCGGGCCCAGGUACGUUUCACCGUUGAGGAAGAAGAGGAUUACCUCCCCCGUGCACGACCGGAGCUCCACCAGCGAGUCCCAGCACUGCUUCAUGCCGUCCGACUGCAGGCGGGCCGAAAGGCCGAUCGGGCCGAUGGGCCGAGCCUCCGACGACGUCGGAGUGGGCACGGUUGUGAGGGAGGAUGCUGCGAGCAAGAUAAAAAUAGAUUGUUUGAAGAGAGAAGCCAUGAGAAACUUCAGUGGAGACACUUGUGAGUGAUCAUAUGAAUUGAUAGAUGUUCAUAAAAAUAUUCAUAUUUAUAGAGGUGGAAUCGAUCAAUAAAUAUGAAUAGGAAAAUGAAAAGUGAAAGGGCAUGCAUGCAUAUAUACGUUUUAAGGAAUGUAAGAAGGUCUCUUAGAUUGAGGUGUAAUAAUAAUUAAUCAAUUAAUGGUGGUGGGAGAAACAAAAUUAAGGAAUUUGUAACAUCUUAAUUAAUUAUUAAGGAAUGUGGAGGGUUUUUAAUUAGCUAGUGGAAAAAUUUGGGUCCUAUGUGGACUCGAGCCCAGUUAAGAUUUGGAUAGAGCCAGGUUAAUUUUGUUGAUUGGUUGUUGGAUUUGGGUCAAGAUAAAACCAACAAUAAGCCCUAACCUAGUGUUUGACUCCUGAAAAAGUGUGGAAAAUUAUUUUUAAAAAAUUUAUUUGUUUAUUUUUUCAUGAAAAACACAUUUCUCCAUAAUUUUUUAUUUCUCUGAUAAAAAAUUUAGAAAAGUAAAGUACUAUUUUUUAUGAAAUCUGAAACGAAUGAAAAUUAUUUUUUCAGUUAGAAAAUUAUUUUCACAAAUAAUUUAUAGAAAAAAACUAAACACCUCCUAAGAGAUUUAGUAUUANAAAGUAAAGUAUUAUUUUUUAUUAAAUCUGAAACGAAUGAAAAUUAUUUUUUCAGUUAGAAAACUAUUUUCACAAAUAAUUUAUAGGAAAAAACUAAACACCUCCUAAGAGAUUUAGUAUUAAUUAUGAGGUACAUAUAUAUGAAUAGUUAGCUUAAUGGAGAAUAACUUGAGAAGUAAAAGAAUCAUUAGAAACGGUAACAUUAUUCUUUGUCACAAUUACUGCAUUAAGGAUUAGUAACAUCUCAAUCAUUAAUAAGCAUGCUCUAUAAUUGAAAGAAAAGAAAAAAAAAAUUAGAAAAGUCCUAAACUAAGGAGGAAGCGCCACGUCAUCUUACACAUUGGGGAUUCAUUAUAUGUAAUAGAUUAGUAUAGUAACUCAUGUGAUGUGAUUAACAAAUAAUUAAAGAAAAAAUAAAAAACGGCAACAAAGAAAGAGUAAACGACGAUGGAAGAAGUGACGGUGAGGAGAUUCAUCCCGCCGAUAAACGAAGAUAAAAGUUGAAGAAAGAGGAAAAGAAAUAGUUCGGUCUAAUGCAGAGAUGUGAUCCAGUUUGGUUCAAUAAAAAAAAAAUCCGAUUUGGUUCAAGUAAAAAAAAAGAAAAGCGUGAGACGGUUUGGGGUAAAGCCUACACUCGAUAGUGAUCGAUUCAGUUCAAGUAAAAAAAAAAAAAAAAAUUGGUUCAAAGAUGAAAACAUGUGGAGCAGUUGAGCUGGUUCAGGGCAAUGUAACCUAUUGAUCUGAUUCAUUUCAAGUAAAGAAAGGGAGAAAUUAAGUUCGUUCCACGUAAAGAAAGAAAAAAAUAUGUGAAAAGCUUAAGCCGGUUCGGAGGAGUCUACAUUUAACAAUGAUCAACUCAAUUCAAGUAAAGAACAAGAAAAAUCCAAUUCGACUGAAGCAAAAAAAAAAGAAAAAAGAUACGUGUAGAACUUGAACAGUUUCUGGAUGAAGCCCACAUUUAAUAAUGAAAGGAACGUUAUCAUGUAGCAAAACUAAAAGAAAUAACGUAUAAGGAUAGAUUGAUAUCAUUAAUGUCACUUAAAUUUUCUAUAGUGAUAUUCAAAGUUUUCUACAUUAUUAAUGUCGCUUAAAUGAUAUUCAAAAUUUUCUGUAGAGUAGUUUCAAAAUUUAUUAGAACUAAGAUUAGGAUAAUGCUAUUUGACAUGAGAUAACAUGAGAGAUAUUUAUGAUAUUUUUAGAAGUAUUUGUGAUAGUUUAAGAUUUUGAGGAGUACCUAUGAAGCUGUCCCUAAAAAAAUCUGCAGUUUUGAGCUCUCACAACCUCGUUUCAAAAUUUGGAAGAUAUCGCUCCUUGACUUUCGAAUUUUAUGUAGUACAAUUUUUAGACGGUGUUCUUAAGGUAAGAAACUUAUAAGCAACUUUAAAGGAAAAAAAGUUAUAUACUUACAGGGAUCGCAUUUAAUUUGGAAAUUUGAAUACGAGUUUUUACUUUUUAGCCGUUCAAAUUUCACACUUUGAUAAAUAAUAUGACUUGAACACUCGUACAAGACGAUAGCAUACCCUCACCCUCUUUUCAUACGCACAAGACAUAAACUAUAAUGAAUGUUGGUGCAAAUAAAAUUUAUUUUUGUCCAAAUAUGGAAUAAGUAAUGAGAUUUGAAUUCUUUUAAUUAACCCUUCAACUCAGUUUGUUUUACUUACAGUAUGGCGUUGGACCACUGUGUUAGUUAAUUCGCGUAUAAUACGCGAAUUAUACGCGAACAAAUUGAAAACCGUAUAAAAUGCUCCGAAUACGAAUUGUUUUCCAAAAAAUCAAAAAACUCGUUUUUUUUCCCCUCGCUCAGAUUAUUCACGAUAAAAAUGGUUUUUCCGAAUUAUAUUUUGAAAAAUUCGGAUGUAGCAGCGGUGGAAAGAAGAAAUUUCUUGUGAAUUUUGGAUUUGGUGGUUGCGGAUUGAUGAAAGUUUUUGGACCGGCAUCGGGUGAGCAUUGUUCCACAAAUUUGUGCACCUCCUCGUGAGCAGUCGAGCAACUUUGCCUGUUCAAUUUUGAAGGAAAUAUGAAGACGAAGCGAAGCAAAGAAGAAAAGGGGCGAGCGAGGAAGGAGGACCCUGGAAAAAAUCGCGAUGUACAUUGGGAAAUAGCGGGGUCCAUGAGGCUGCACUCAGCGUCAUGGACCAUGUGGAGUGAGAGGUCCACCGUGCUGCAAUCAUAUAUAUAUAUAUAUAUAUAUAUGAUUUUAUAUAUUAUUUUAUAUUAGUUUAUUUUUAUAUUUAUAAAAAUUAUAAUUAUUUAUGAUAAUGACAUAAAUCUGAAAAAAAUUUAAUAGCCUAAUUAAGGAUAUUUUUCAUAAUUAUGAGUAUUUAUACUAAUAGCAUAAAUCUAGAGAAAAAAAAAAAUUAACAGCCGAAUUUUUUUAUCUCGAAAUUUUAAUUGGUGCACGUAUAAUAUUCGUAUAAAUCACGUAUCCGAAUAAUUUACAAAUCUAUUUUUUAGCCGUAUUUUUAAAAAAAUUUAAAAUUAAAAUACAAAUUUUAUCCGUAUUAUAUUCGUACCGAAUUUUUGCCAAAUCCGAAUUAACUACCUAAGUUGGGUCACAACAUACAUACCGAUUAUUCAGAUACAACUUUAUUUCGCACAGAUGUAUGAGAAUUGGGUAAAUUGCACUAAAGGUCUCUAAAAUUAAAAAUUUAGUUUGGAGACUGUCUGCGUUAAUUUCGCUCAGGCAUCAUUUGAGAUAGGCCAUGCCAAACUAGGCCCCGCCCUCAACUACACGCCACGCCCUCAUCAACAGAACAUUCCAAACUUGGUCCCCUAACAUUUCUUCUUCUUCUUCUUUUUUUUAAAAAAAAGAGUUUAUUUUUUGUUUUAAAUUUUUUGAUAAAUUGAGAUGUUUUAGUGAAAUAUAUUAAGAAUUUUAUCAGAUUUUCCGUGAUUCCAUCAAAUUUAAAAGUUUUGACCAUUCCUAGCAAUUGAAACUUGAAUAAUUUAUAACUAACUAGAAUUGCCCCAAUUAAACAACUUUAGAAGAUAAACAUAUGUUAAGAGUUGAGGAGUCAAAUUCAAAGGAGCCUAUGAUUGAGCGCGUCUUCAUAGAGAUCUACCGAUUAUCUGCUCAUGUAUGCAGCAACCAGAGCUAAACUAUGUUUAUCAGGGCAAUAAUUCGCCCUUUUUUUUUUCAUGAUCUUAAGAACAUGGUUAUAAGCUUUAAUUAAAAUUACAGAGCUUGAUAACAAGUCGAACAAGUUUAUGACAAAAAUAAAUAUAUAUUAUAAGCACAGUCCCAAAAAAUUGUGGGAGCAUCAGAUUUAAUUACUUGGUAUCAUAUUACACGAACGAGCCAUAUUUCAUGCGGAAUAUAUUAAACAAAUAUGAAAAUACAUGAUGUGCAACAUAAUAUUUGACGCAUAUUGGGUGCAAUUAAUUCUAUGCACAUAUGCAUUUUGACUGUUCAAAUUGGAUGGUCCAAAUAGAACGAUCAGUCUUGAUUGAUAUAUAAGGUAUAUAUUUCAUUCAGUUACAUAUUUUAUUAGGAAAUAAAUCCAAUUUCAUUUGUUCCCUUUGUUUUUAAUAAAAUAGAAAUCAUUCACUAGGCUCAGCCUAAAUCUAAUAUUCAUAGUAAGGGUACCGACCGUCCCUAGAGCAAGUGACAAACGGCUUGGUGGUUGGUAUCCGACACUCAAGUUCGAAUCCUAGUUGAUUUACAUUUCUAGCUAAGUUUAUUUCUAAGUGAAAUAAAACGAAGUAGGUAGUAUGCUAUCUAUUUCUCAUAUAUAUAUAUAUAUAUAUAUAUAUAUAUAUAGAUAUUAGAAAAAAAAAUGUCGAGCUCAAUUAUAAAAAGAUUCAUUUAUAUAUAAAGUUGCAACUAUUCGAUCAAAAUCUAAUAGGUAAGAUUUUAUAAAUUUAUUUUUUAUUUAUAUAUCCAAUCUAAUUCAUUUAAUUUAUUGUUCGUUGGUCAGCUCGUGUUCGACUCGUUUAUUAAUGAGUCGAACACAAGUUGAAUUUUUCGGCUUGAUACUUUAACGAGUCAACUGGUGUUCAGCUCGAACACGAGUUGGCUCCAGCUCACUCGUGUUCGGCUCGUUAAUACUUAGAUCUUAGACAUCAUGAAAGCGCAGUUUGAAUAUCAAAAUAAGUUAUUCAAAGAGAAGAAUUGCUUGGGUGAUUAUAAGAAAGAAGUUUAAUUUUUUUCUCCAAGAAAAGAAUUUGAUAUCCAUAGUUAGAUAGCAUGAUAUAUUUUAUUUAUGAGAUUAUUUAAUUAUCUUAUCCAGAAAAUGACUUUCACAGGCUGCAUUAAUAUCAAAUUUUAAAUUUUUGAUCACACUGCUCAUAUAUUAAUAUUAUGUACAAAAUUUUCAAAUAAUAUUUAUAAAAUAUAUCAAAUAAGGUAUUCAUAAAUCCAAAUAGGGCCGAAGUUAGGACGGUAUAAACCAAGUUCAUUCAUCGAAACCAAACCGUACCUAACAACACGUCUUUUAUUAGAUAGUAACUGCCAAAGAGGACGGACCUGGACCAUGUCUCGUGGGCCUACUACCAUGUCUCGCGGAGGACCAUGUCGGUCCAUGAGAACACCUAAUAUUUUUUUAAAAAAUUUUAUUUUAAUAGAAUUAAUUUUUUUAAACCAUAUUAUUUAUUUAUGUAUAAUUAAUGACUAGUUAUUGUAAUAGAAUAAAAUUUUCUCAUUAUAGUAAUAUUUUUUUAAAAAAAGAUUUCUUUUUCAUUAUUGUUAAAAAUUUUUUGAUCCGUCUUUGUUUUCUCCAUCUUAUUAUGGUACAAAUUAAGAGAAAGCUAGAGUACUAUUAUAUACAACCCUUUGUUAAGAUAUUGGUGUGGCUAGGUCGAGUUAGGCUCAACGACAAGCCAUUAUUUCCACCCUAGUGUGCGCGCAUACACAAUUUGCAUUGCAUAAAGAGACACAUGUGAUCCAUUUUAUAGUACUAAUAAGCAACACUAGUACACAAUACUUAAGGAGAACAUUCAAUUGUAGAUAUUCAAACUUACAUGCUCACUGGACACACCGAAACAGAACAGAAACCACAAUGUCGAAGCAAGCUUAGCAAUUGGAUGCAGCUAACAUCCUUAUUUAUGUAAGUUAAGCAAACAAGAUAGCAAACUGCAGUGCAUUGCUAAAUCAUUUGCUUCCGACUUAUGCGUAGCUUCAAGUUUCAGAAACCAUCUUAAUAACUUCGACAUUGGCCCCUGAUUGUAGAGUGGGAUAGAGAGGAGCCAUGGCGAUUCCACAUAAUCCAGAUGAUGAUGACACACCUCUUGCCAUACGGACGUAUCCACGCUCACCCCAUGAGCUACCCCACGAGUUCCUUACUAUCCAAUAUUUUGUUCCACUGCUAUCCUGCCCGUAACCUAUAAUGGUGAUGGCAUGAUUGAGACUAGUUCCACAAGGUCCGCUAUACACACCGCCUCGGUAAUAUUGAAAGUUGUUUCCGCUGGCAUCGAUAAGAGCAGCUAUUGGUUGUUUCGACACAGCGUACAUCAUGCUGCGUUCGUUGUUCCUUUGCACAUAUGUAUAACCAGUAAUGUAAGCUGAGUUGGGCACGCUAUUGGCAGCGCAAGUGCCUUUGUAUCCUUGAUAAGGAUAGUAAGCUGCGGAGGUCACACCAUUGUUAGAUAUGAUGAAAUCGUAGGCCUUGUCCACCCAGCCGCCUUUGCACCCGUAGCUAACAGCACAAUCGAGAACUUCUUGCUCCGAUAGAGAUACUAAGUACCCUGUUUUGAUCUUGUAGAUUCCUUCCACUGUUGCAAUUGCACUGAAUGCCCAGCAAGAACCUAUGCCAAAACAAAGAUAUGCGUUCGCAUAACUACUGUUAGCAAAGUUAUAUAUGAUAUAGCCAUGAUAUAAGGAAACAUUCAAACUGACAUAAUUAGAUGUUAUUUGCAAGUACAGAGCUGCUUUUAACUUGUUUCAAUAGUUGUCAUGCAUAUGGAUGUCCUGUUCUUUCUGACUAGCACUUACUUUGCUUACUUCAGUAAUAUGAUUAUUGCAGUAACUUAAUUAAUAGUAAGAGACCCAGCAAUAGAUCUAACUUGCAGAUAGAUUGAAUCGAGUCGAAGCCUGUGAACAUUGUGCUUGAAUUCUUAAAUGCGAUGGAUGUGUCCUUUUUAUCACCAUGUAUGUAUUUUUGGAUGGUUUAUUAGCACUUACAUAUACAUUUGAUGGCUAAGUUGAUUUUUUAUUAACUAGAUUCAAUACUUCAUUUCCUUGUACACUGAUAAUAUGUGAUAAUACAUGUUUAGACCCUUUUAAUCAGCCAAAGUAAUGGAAUCAUUGAGUUUUAAUGGGUGGAAAUUUGGUCCUUUUGUCCAAAAAAGGCAUAAGGCAUUCGGUAGCAAGCAUAUUUGAUCUAAGCAACAUGUUAUAAAGUUAACUAAGAAUAGAUUUUUUUUUUUUCUAGCUGAAGAAAUGAAGGUGCUUUGAUAAUUUAUAGUCGAGAUUUCUUACCACAGCUGCCUUGAUUCCUGACACUUGUUACAGCACCAUAGUCUCUCCAAUCAAUACUUUGAGCCACCGCGGAGAUGUCUACGUCAUCAAACGACUCCACUAGCUCUGUCUCGAUAUUUAGUGGGAGAGAUACUCCAGUAUAUUGAGAAAUAAAUUCGUUAUUUGUCUUAUCGGUAAACUGAUUGAUACCGAGAGUGUACGAAUUUUCGCUAUGGUUGUUAAAGGUUUCAAUAUGGUUCACGUUGUUCUUGAAUAUCUGAAACCGCCGCAUCUUCUCGUCGUUGUCAUUGUAAACUCGGCCGUACUGAGCCAUCCAUUCUUCAAACCUCUUCAUCAUGGGGUCACUGGGUUCGCCAUGAGAAGCUGCCGAUGGCGAAGCCCACAUCACACAAAGAAACGAGAAAAGAAACAAAAGUUGAAAUUUGGAAGCCAUGCAUAUACAUAUGUAGCACUAAAUAUCUAGUAUAUGUAUGAGGAAAUUGGAGAUCGAGCUACAAGAGCUUGCUUUUGGUGCUGAGAGUAUGGUCUCAAGAUUGUGUUUUUAUAGAAGUUCAUGCCUACGAAUGUAGUUGGGAGUAUUAAUGGGUGGAGGCCUGCAAGAUUAAAUAGUUGUGGACCGCUUGCAACACCACGUCAUGUGGUCAUGUGGUAAUCACGAAAGAAUAAUGUUUCUCUACUUACUCCCACAUUUUAUCCUUGUAAUUUCUUUCAUAGGACAUAAGAUCAUCUUAGGUGCAAGCGAAUGGAACAUACGUUUCUCCAUUUCUAUCUCUUAACUCUUUAACCUUAAUCUUUCAUGCAUAAGCUAUAUUAUUUCUUGUUGUUUAUUUUUCCAUCGAGUAAGCACCAACGCAGGAAAUAAAAAGUCCACAAGUGGUUUAGCCCAUUAUAACUUUAUUUAGAAGCCUAGUAUCAUUCGAACUCAAGGCUACUAGCUUGCUCUAAUAUUGUACAAAAUAAUGUAAUACAACUGUUGUUCUCAAAAAACUGAAAAAUGACACAGAGCACUAGGUACUAAGUUUAAAUCUGAUCAGACUAGUUUCAUUUAACUUCGUUUCAUCUAAUUUAAGUGAAUUCAAAUUCAUAUUUUAAGUCUAUUAAAAUAUCUUGAGUCUAAACUUAAGAAAGAGUGUUGAUUUUAAAUAUUAAAAAUAUUUCUUUUCUUAUGGCUAUCCCUUAAGAAGAAGAUCCCCAUGGCCGAUAAUUUACUGAAAAAGGGAUGGUUGGGUGAUCCCCUCUGUGUCCUCUGUGGUGAAGUUAUGGAGACGGUGGACCACCUCCUUAUAGGAUGUGUGUACACUAAGUUUAUGCUUUUUCGAACCUUGGAGGACAUCCAGUGUUUACAGACUAUGGAGGACGUACCGAUGAUCUGGAGUAAAAUCACAAGAAUUAUUAGGUCGGGGGAGAUUUUGCAGGAUCUGAUUACCGAAGCAGUGUGCUGGUGGUUAAUCUGGAAGGAAAGAAAUAACGUGAUUUUUAAAAACCACUUUGCUGACCCUCUCUUCGUAGUCGGACAUAUCAAGGAGUUGGUAAGAGAGUGGAGGGACUUUUGUUGAGCUGUAUAACCUGUCGAUUACUUUUGUUGCUAUUUCUCUUUUCUUUUUCUUCUUUAUUUGAGCUAUAUUUUUCUUCUCGAGGCCAUGUUGACUCACUGUUUGUAGCCAAAUUUAUUUUCGAAAUGAAUGAUGCGGGUAACGUGCUACCUUUUUCUCAAAUAUAUAUAUAUAUAUAUAUAUAUAUAUUAUAUACUUUGCAAAAUUAAGUUUUUAGAGAUAAAUGAUUCUAUUUUUUUUUCCAUAUUAUAAUGAGCGAUUAUAAUCUAAUUCCUACUAGGGAUGCAAACGGGGCGGUCUGGGGCGGGAAGUUCCUCCACCUCCCGUUCAUUUUUUAUCUGGGCGGGAGCGGUCGGAGGCGGGUUACUUUUCAUUAUUUUUGGUUCCCACUUACCGCUCCAUUCGGAGGCGGAUCGGAGCGGGAGCCGGAUUUUUGACGGAUCGGGCGGAUUGAAGAAGAAAAGAGUCUCCCACCUCCCGCUCCAUUUACGUUGGCGAUCGGGAACGGAUUCGGGACGGUUAUAUUUUUUAUAUAUUUUUGUUCCACUUUACCACUCCAUUCGGGCGGAGCUCCACCAACCCGGAUCCAUUGGCACCCUAAUUCCUACUUUAAUUACCAUUAGAAAAUAAAUAAUAUACCUAAUUUAUAAUGAUUUUACUCCAACCACUUUUCAUCUACUAGCAUGCUCCAUUCCACGUGUCCUAAGUUAGAAGACAAUCCAAAAUAUGAAGAACCCGAGUUAAAGAUUGCAGUAAAGUUAAUUUAAUGAUAACUUCAAUUUAUAUACCUCCAUGAUUUAGUGGAUUUUUUACAUUUGUUCUCUGUGUUCAAAAAUUUUACUUAAUUAUCAUGUAAUUUAUUUUAUUUCACAGAUAUGAUAGAAUCUAACAUAAAGUUAGCAAAGUGAAUUUAUUUUAAAUAAAGUUAUAAAGUGGUAUCCGUUAAAAUAAACUUUACAAUAAAAUAAAAUUAAUAUUAUGGAUGUUAAGUAUAAUAUUGAACUUUUCAACCAUGUAAAAAGUGAUUAAAAACAUUAAACAACGGUACGAAAAAUUAAGAAUUAUCUAAUUUAAUUCAUCGCACUAACUCGAUCCAAUUCAUUCAUUUCCUUGAUCCAAGAUUCCACAAUCUCAUUCUCCCCAAAUAUUUGAGUGCAAAUAUAACAUAUGUUACAAAAGUCAAACGCAUUAUAAAUUUUUUGUAUAAAUUUUUAAACUCUAUAAAAUUAAUCAAAUAAUUAAAUUUGAUUUUAAAUUUUUUUAGAGAAAAGAUAAUUAGUUACACUUUUGUUCAUUUUGUGAUUUUUUUUUUCGAGUAAAAUCUAAUAAGAGAUUUAGUGCCAACAUGCAUGUGUGUAAUUAUUAAGUAUUUUAAGAAUAUAUCAGUUAUAUGAUGAAGUUGCAUUUUCAACCAAUCAAGUAAUUUGUUUAAAUUUAUCUCUUUCAUCAAAUUAUUAAAAAAUAAUAUUAUUAUAUUUUAAAAAUAUAAUUAAUUUAUUAUUUGAUAAUAUAUAUAAAUAUAAUAUAGUAAAUUUUCGUCAUCAUAUUUGUUUGGACCGAUGUAAUCAGGUAGGGGACAAUCACUCUGGGGGGCGUUUGGAUUGACGAAUUUUUGUAGAUUCUACAACGUAUAGUCAAGUGUAUGUGUUGUGAGUUUUCCCUGAUGGUGAUUAUUUUUCUGUGUUUGUUUUGACAGUAACUCGUACCACUGAAAGUUAAAUUCAAUCACUUCUGCUGUUUGUUUUGAUGUAACUUGGUGCUGGUAAAAUUAGUUUUUUGAGUUCCGUUGUUUGUUUUGAUGUAAGUAAGUGGAUCCCAUUAUCUCCUAAAUAUAGUAAUAAAUUUAUCACUAUAAAAUUUAACCUAUUAUAUAAUUAAAUUUUUUAUUAUUAUUUAAAGAUAAUCUUAAUUUAUUAUAAAUAAGGUAAUUCUAACCCAUUAUAAAGAAAGUAGAGUUUAGGUUUUACUGUUUAAUAAAUUGUUUAGAGAAGGUUGAGUGUGGUGGAAGUCGAGUUCGGUACUUUAGAGCCGGAAGUCGAGAGUAGGUGAAGUGGAGCUCUAACGUAACUUGAGUUACAUUAUAUUUUUCACUUACACCAAAACAAAUAACGGAAGUGAUGGAACUUGAGUUCCAUCACUCCACUUACACCAAAAUAAACGGGCCCUCUAUGCACAAGAGUUAUUGCAAUUGAUGUGUUGUUUAUUGGGACAAAAAUUUUAUGGGCAUAGCCCCAAAACCAAUUAGUUUGGGGACUAUGCCGAUCGGUGCCACGUGACUGAUCCGACCGCCACAGAUGGAAAGACAAAAAAGAAAUCCUGUGUUUUUAGAGAGAGAGAGAAAAUAAUUGAAAUCCGUGGCCGUCGGAUCGGCCACAUGGGGCCGAUCGGCAUACUCCCCAAACUAAUUUUGUUUGGGACUAUGCCCAUAAAAUUUUUGUCCAGCUGAGCAUGUGUUGCACAACUUAAGGAGGAGUGAUAAGAGAGGCGAGCAUUAUAAAUUAUCAAUGCCGUCCAGUCUCUCUUAAAUUAUUAUGAAUAUAUUACAAAAACCUUUUAAGAGAAUAGUCUUUAUCAUAAAUAAUGUUGAUAGUUGCAAAAUACUUAUUUUGCCAUUGACUAUUAUAUAUAUUAUUAAUGUGGCUUAAAUUUUCUAUAAGGACUUGUUUGGUUCAAGGGUGGAAUUAGAGUAGAUAAUGAAAUGGAAAUGAAUUGGAAUGGUAAUUAGAAUGAUCCAUUCUCCCAAGACGUUUGGUUUAUUUGUGGAUUGAGAAUUGAAAUGAGUUAUUCACAUUUCAUUGUUUGGUUCGUAUAAACUAAAAAAGUUAUAGGAUACUAUAAUACUAAUUUUACUCUCAUAUAUAAAUUUAUAUUAUUUAAAAUUUAUGAAAAAUAUAAUACUAUUCUCUAAUAAGUUUUUCAAAAAAAAAAUCAAAUUUAUUUUUAAAAACUUUUAUUGAUGUGGGUUAGGAAUAGGAUUUUGAGAGAUGAUAGGUUUUUUUUUUUAUUUUUUUUCUGAUGAGAAAAGGGUGAAGAGAAGGAAGGNGGUGAGAUGGUCACAUGGGUUUUGAGAACUUAGUAGACUUCCGGAAUGAAAUAUCAAUCUAGGCUAAAAGACCGGAAUCAAGUUGAGGGCUAAUGGGCCAUUCCCAUUCCAGUCCGGAAUAGGAAUCCCAAUCCGAUUCAUGCGAACCAAACAAAAUUAACCGGAUUUAAUCAAACUGAUUUCCAUUCCAUAUCCAAAAUGGAUGAACCAAACAAGCCCUAAGUGAUAUUCAAAAUUUAAAAACGACGAUAUUGGCCCAGGCUAUUCAUGGAAUGAGGACCGCUCAACGGACCCUACAUAUUUUUUGAAAAUGCCCUCUAAAUAUUUUAUCAAUAAUUUUUAUUAUCAUGCAUGCAUCACAUGAAUAAUUUAAAAACAAAAAUAAAAAUAAAAAUUAGAAUUAAAACUAAAAUUAAAAUUUAAUAAAGAUAUAAAUUUAAAUUUUAAAUUUGAAUUUAAAUUUUUAAUUUAAAGCUGCAAUCAAUUUUAAAUCUAAAUUUAAAUUUGAAAUUAAAUAUAAAACUAAUUCAACAGCUAGAUUUGAAAUUAACAUUAGUGUAAUUCUUAAUUUUGAAUUCAAUUGAAUUUAAAAAUUAAUAUUAAAAUUCAAAAUUCGAAUUUACAUUUGAGUGUAUCUAAUAUCAAAGUUUAAAUUGAAAAUUGACUUAAAGAAAUAUAAGAAAUAUAAUUAUAAAUUUUGGAACUACUUAGAGAUAAAAUUGAAUAAUUUAAAAUUUAACUAGUGGUAAACUAAUUUCGAGCUAAUCAAGAUUAGCAUAACACUCUGUGUUGUGAGAUAACAUGAGAAAUAUUUAUGGUAUAGCACAUUCUAUUGAAAGAGCGUAUAUGAUAAUGUGAUAUUUUUUAGAAGCAUUCGCGAUAGUUUAAGAUUUUGAGUGGUUAUAAAAUUGCCCCGAAAAAUAUUGGCGGUUCGAACUCUCACGAGCAUGUUUCAAAAUUUAGAAAAUUAAUCUCCCUGACUUUCGACGGUGUUCUUAAGGUAAGGAACUUUAGAGGGAAAAAGUUACAUACUUAAUUAGAGGGAAAAAGUUACAUACUUAAUUAGAGGGAUCGCAUUUCGGAAAUUUGAAGAUGAGUUUUUCGCCAAGUCCAGAUUUCACACUUAGAUACAUAAUAAUAAUAAUAUGAUUUGAACACUCAUAAAAGAUGAUAACAUGCGUGUACGCACUUUUAAUAUGCACAAGACAUAGACUAUAACGAAGGUAUGUUGGUAUAAGUAAAAUUUACCUUUGUCCAAAUAAUAGGUGAAAGAUGGAAAAAGUAAUGAGAUUUGAAUUCUUUUUUUUUACCCUCAACUCAGUUGGUUUGUUCUUGUUAUAGUGGCAUCCGACUGCAACAUACAUAUAUACCGAUUAUAUACUCAGAUACAAGUUUAGUUCGAACAGAUAUAUGAGAAUUUGGUAAAUUGCACUAUAGGUCUCUAAACUUUAAAUUUAGUCAGGCUAAAUUACAGAAAAUUUCUUUGUCAAUAUCUGCUUUUUUACUUUUUCUCUCCGUCAUUCAAAAAUCUAUACUUCGUCCCCUUAAAAAGUAAAAAAUAUUCAUUUCGGUUCUUGCCGUCAGUGUUCCAUUAAGGUUCCGUUUAUAUUUUAUUUUUUAAAUUCAAAAUUGUUAGGAUUUGGUUAGAUUUGUAGUUGAAUCCUAUUUUGGAUAAGAAUUAAUAUUUAAAUCUGUUGGAGAUAAAUUAAGAUUUAAAUAUUAAUUAGAGUAUAAAUCUAAAUAGAUUAGAAUUAAUAUUUAAAUCUAUUAGAGAUUAAAUUAAGAUAGAUUUAUAUAUUAAUUAAAGUCGGAAUUCUAAAUAUACUAGGAUUGGGUAUGUUUUCGUAGGUGCUAUAUAUAUAUAGCAUUGGAGCUAAUUAAUUAGCAAGAAGCCAAGAAGGCUGUGAGGUGUACUGCCAAGAGAGAGAUUCUCUUUGGGGUGUGAAGUACCUGAGAGAAAAAGAGAGAGUUAUCCAAUGAGUUGAGUACACCUAGUGCACGGGUGCGCGUAGAGAAUUGUCUACUUUGUGGGAUUAUAGAAGACGAGAGAAGGGUAGAAAAGAUUCAAAAUAAGGGCUCGGGUUGUAGCUACUCUGUUGCAGAAGAGGAGUCAGAUGUAAUCUUUUCUUAUUUAAUGAAUUUUAUUUUACCUGCAUAUUUUUCUUUUUUAUUAUUAUAUUAGCUUUUUCUGAAGAGACGAGUUUAUGGUGAAAACCCGAUUUGACGUUUUCGUUGCGGAAUCCCAAUAAUCUGUUGCGGAUUCAUAAGAUCCGGUACCGGGACAAGUACCGGAUUCCCAACAAUUAGUAUCAGAGCUGAAGGUUACCGAUCCAAGGGAGAGAUCGGCGAAAAUGGCCACGAAAUUCGAAAUCAAGAAGUUCGACAGCAAGAACAAUUUCGGAUUGUGGCAAAUUAAAGUACGGGUAAUCCUCGUACAGCAAGAGUUAGACGAGAUGUUGAACGGGAAGGAGGCGAAGCCGGUGGAGGUCACGGAUGCGGCAAGGACGAAGAUGGAGCGGAAGGCGCUGAGCACGCUUCAUCUAUUAUUAGCAGAUGAGGUUCUUUACAACGUAGCCAGCGAGACGACACCGACAAAGUUGUGGAAGAAAUUAGAUGAUCUGUACAUGACCAAAUCCUUGACAAACAGGUUGUCUUUGAAGCAACGAUUGUUUACGCUGCGGAUGCAAGAAGCGGCAAGUCUACAUGAGCAUCUAAACGAGUUCAACAAGGUGGUGGCCUAGUAGACUAGCAUCGGAGUCAAUCUGGAUGACGAAGAUAAGGCGCUGAUUUUACUAUCUUCGCUACCGGCGACAUAUGAGCAUCUAGUGACCACAUUGCUUUAUGGCAAGGAGACCAUAAGCGUGGAGGCAGUCACAGGGGCGCUUCUCUCGAACGAGAUGCGGAAGAUGACUCAGGAGUCCGGCAUGCAGAGACAGGAUACUGCUUGGUGGUGAGAGCGAAGAAGGAGACGACAACAUCAGCGACUGAAGAUCGACAGAAGAAGUCACUAUUCGAGGUGGAGUGCUUUUACUGUCACAGGAAAGGACAUAUCAAGCGCAAAUGUCGGGAACUUCAGAAUGAUCUGAAGGAGUUAAAGCGACAAAAGGAGAAAACUGUCGUGAACCAGAACGAGGCGAUAACAGCGAUGGCGCAGGCGGCAAAGUCGGAGAUGAUCGAUUCUGAUGUGCUAUAUGCGGCGACCGGAGGUGCGAAAAUUUCGGAUGAUGCGUGGGUGCUCAAUUCGGCGUGUUCCUUUUACGUAUGCCCGGAGGAGGUGUCUUUUGCCACCUAUAAGGCGAUCAAGGGUGGAAAAGCUCUGAUGAGGAACGGGACGGCGUGCAAAGUUUUGGGAGUCGGCACGGUAAAGAUCCGAAUGCACGAUGGGAUCAUGAGGACGCUGACAGGUGUGCGACAUGUUCCUGGAUUGAAGCGGAAUUUGAUCUCGUUAGGCACGUUGGACUCGAAGGGUUGCGAUAUUUCAGUUUCAGGUGGAGCUAUGAGGGUCUGAAAAGGAGAUCGGGUCAUGUGCGAGGCGAACAAGCGUGGGAAUUUAUACGUUCUGAACGGGAGCACAGUCAGAAUAGAAGGAAAGACGGUUUGGGUUCCAAAAGUUCGCGGAUGUGCAGUCGCUCGAGGCGAAGCAACGGAUGCAGCAACAUCGAGCGGAGAAGACAAGCUCAAGGUGGAGCUUGCAUGGUAAGCUCGAUGUAGCGGUUGAAGACUACAAAUUCAACCAAGGUGGAGAUUGCUAGGAUUUGGUUAGAUUUGUAGUUGAAUCCUAUUUUGGAUAAGAAUUAAUAUUUAAAUCUGUUGGAGAUAAAUUAAGAUUUAAAUAUUAAUUAGAGUAUAAAUCUAAGUAGAUUAGGAUUAAUAUUUAAAUCUAUUAGAGAUUAAAUUAAGAUAGAUUUAUAUAUUAAUUAAAGUCGAAAUCCUAAAUAUACUAGGAUUGGGUACGUUUUCGUAGGUGCUAUAUAUAUAUAGCUGGGGCUAAUUAAUUAGCAAGAAGCCAAGGAGGCUGUGAGGUGUGCGGCCAAGAGAGAGAUUCUCUUGGGGUGUGCCGUACCUGAGAGAAAAAGAGAGAGUUAUCUAAUGAGUUGAGUGCACCUAGUGCACGGGUGCGCGUGGAGGAUUGUCUUCUUUGUGGGAUUAUAGAAGACGAGAGAAGGAUAGAAAAGAUUCAAAAGGAGGGCUCGGGUUGUAGCUAAUCUAUUGCAGAAAAGGAGUCAGGCGUAAUUUUCUAUUAUUUAAUGAAUCUUAUUUUAUCUGCAUAUUUUUCUCUUUUAUGAUUGUAUCAGAUUUUGCUGAGAAGACAGGUUUAUGGUGAAAGCCCGAUUCGACGUUUCCGUUGCGGAAUCCCAACAAUCUGUUGCGGAUUCACAAGAUUCGGUACCGGGACGAGUACCGGAUUCCCAACAAAAAUAUUUCUAAAAUUCUCAUCCAUACCCACACACAUAUGCCACCUCACUCUGGCCCACCCCUCUGUCCAUGCGUAGAUGCACACCCUUGCUCUCUGCCGCCGGAAUGAACAAGAUUGGGAAGAAGGACAUAAAGAAAAUGAGGACAAUUUGUUCAUUUUAUCACACAAUAUUUAUUUAUAAAUAUUUUUAUUUUUCAAAAAUAUAAAGUUUAGAUUUUUAAACGACAAAAAAAAAGAAAAACAGUUAUUGGCCUAAGGUUUUUAUAUAAUUGAGCCAUUUAGUUAAUGCGGAGACAGUCCAAACUGAAAAAUUCUAGAAUGCAACGGGUAUAUUAGUGGCGUGGCGUAACAAACCAAUCAAAUUAAUCUUUUUAAGAAUAUAUGUCCCAUCAUGAUUGUAAAAAAGUAUUUUUAUUGUACUUUUGUUUGAAAAGAAUAAAUGUGAUUGGCUUGUUAUUGAUGACGUGGUGCAAAUGUGACAGUGUAGAAUUCCUCUUCCAAACUAGGCCACGCCCUCAGCUCCAGAACAUUCCAAACUAGGUCCCAAAACGUUUCUUUUUUUUUAAAAAACAAGUUUAUUUUUGUUUUUUAUUUUUUUGAUAAAUUGAGAUGUUUAAAAUAUAUUAUAAUUUUUUAUNUUUAAAUCUAAAUUUAAAUUUGAAAUUAAAUAUAAAACUAAUUCAACAUCUAGAUUUGAAAGUAACAUUAGUGUAAUUCUUAAUUUUGAAUUCAAUUGAAUUUUUUCAAAAUUCGAAUUUACAUUUGAGUGCAUCUAAGAUCAAAGUUUAAAUUGAAAAUUGACCAAUAAUGUAAGCUGAAUUGGGCACGCUAUUGGCGUUACAAGUGCCUUGGUAUGCUUGAUAAGGAUAGUAAGCGCGCUUCGGAGGUCACACCGUUGUUAGAUAUGAUGAAAUCGUAGGCCUUGUCCACCCAGCCGCCUUUGCACCCGUAGCUAACAGCACAAUCGAGAACUUCUUGCUCCGAUAGAGAUACUAAGUACCCUGCUUUGAUCUUGUAGAUUCUUUUCACUGUCGCAAUUGCACUGAAUGCCCAGCAAGAACCUAUGCCAGAACAAAGUUUUACGUUAGCAUAACUACUAUAAGCAAAGUUAUAUAUGAUAUAGCCAUGAUAUAAGGAAACAUUCAAACUAACAUAAUUAAACGUUAUUUGCAAGUACAGAGCUGCUUUUAACUUGUUUAAGAUUUUGAGUGGUUAUAAAAUUGUCCCUAAAAAUAUUGGCGGUUCGAACUCUCAUCACGACCAUGUUUCAAAAUUUAGAAAAUUAACUAGUAGAGGGAAAAAGUUACAUACUUAGAGGGAUCACAUUUCGGAAAUUUGAAGAUGAGUUUUUCGCCAAGUCCAGAUUCCACACUUAGAUACAAAAUAAUGAUUUGAACACUCGUAAAAGAUGAUAGCAUGUGUGUGCGCACUUUUAAUAUGCACAAGACAUAGACUAUAACGAAGGUAUGUUGGUAUAAGUAAAAUUUACUAUUGUCCAAAUAAUAGGUGUAAGAUGGAAUAAGUAAUGAGAUUUGAUUUCUUUUUUUUACCCUACAACUCAGUUAGUUUGUUCUUGUUACAGUGGCGUCCGACCGCAACAUACAUGUAUACCGAUUAUAUACUCAGAUACAAGUUUAUUUCGAACAGAUAUAUGAGAAUUUGGUAAAUUGCACUAUAGGUCUCUAAACUUUAAAUUUAGUUAGGCUAAAUUAUAGAAAAAUCUCUCUGUUAACAUCUGUUUUUUCACUUUUCCUCCAUGUCAUUUAAAAAUCUAUACUUCGCCCCCUUAAAAAAUAAAAAAUAUUCAUUUCGGUUCCUGCCGUCAGUGUUCUGUUGAGGUUCCAUUUAUAUCUUAUUUUUUUAAUUCAAAAUAUUUCUGAAAUUCUCAUCUAUAUCCACACACAUAUGCCGCCUCGCUCUGGCCCACCCCUCUGUCCAUGCGUAGAUGCACACCCUUGCUCUCUGCCGCCGGAAUGAACAAGAUUGGGGAGAAGGAAAUAAAGAAAAUUAGGACAAUUUGUUCAUUUUUAUCACACCAUAUUCAUCUAUAAAUACUUUUUAUUUUUCAAAAAAGCAAAGUAUAGAUUUUUUUUUUUAAAAAAAAAAGAAAAACGGCUAUUGGCCUAAGGUUUUCAUAUAAUUUAGCCAUUUAAUUAAUGCGGAGACAUUCCAAACUGAAAAAUUCUAGAAUGCAACGGGUAUAUUAGUGACGUAGCGCGGCAUAACAAACCAAUUAAAUUAAUCCUUUUAAAAAUAUAUGUCCCAUCAUGAUUGUAAAAAAGUAUUUUUAUUGUACUUUUAUUUUGAAAAGAAUGAAUAUGAUUGGCUUGUUAUUGAUGACGUGGUGCAAAUGUGACAGUGUAGAAUUCCUCUUCCAAACUAGGCCACGCCCUCAGCUCCAGAACAUUCCAAACUAGGUCCCAAAACGUUUCUUUUUUUUAAAAAAAAAGUUUAUUUUUGUUUUUUAUUUUUUUGAUAAAUUGAGAUGUUUAAAAUAUAUUAUAAUUUUUUAUCAGAUUUUCCGUGAUUCCAUCAAAUUUAAACAGUUUUGACCAUUUCUGGCAAUUGAAACUUGAAUAAUUUACUAAAAUUUUCAAGAUAUAUUUAUAAAAUAUAUCAAAUAAAAUAUUCAUAUAUUUACAUAGGGCCGAAGGUAGGACGGUAUCAAUCCAAAUUGGAUUAAACCAAGUUCAUUCAUCGAAACCAAACCAUACUUAACAAAACGUCUUUUAUUAGGUAACUGCCAAAGAGGAGAACCAUGUCGGUCCAGGAGAACACCUAAUAUUUUUUAAAAAAUUUAUUUUAAUAGAAUAAUUUUUUUAAAAAAAAUAUUAUUUAUUUAUGUAUAAUUAAUGACUAGUAAUUGUAAUAGAAUAAAAUUUUCUCAUUAUUGUAAUAUUUUUUUUAAAAAAAGAUUUAUUUUUCAUUAUUGUAAAAUUUUUUUUGAUCCGUCUCUGAUUUCUCCAUCUUAUUAUGGUACAAAUUGAGAGAAAGCUAGAGUACACAAUUGCAUUGCAUAUAGUUAAGAUAUUGGUGUGGCUAGGUCGAGUUAGGCUAAACGGAAAACCCUUAUUUCCACCCUAGUGUGCGCACAUACACAAUUGCAUUGCAUAAAGAGACACAUGUGAUCCAUUUUAUAGUACUAACAAGCAACACUAGUACACAAUAAUGAAGGAGCACAUUCAAUUAUAGAUAUUCAAACUUACAUACUGGCAGGACACACCGAAACAGAACAGAAACCACAAUGUCGAAGCAAGCUUAGCAAUUGGAUGCAGCAAACAUCCUUAUUUAUGUAAGUAAAGCAAAUAAGAUAGCAAACUGCAGUGUUGCUAAAUCAUUUGCUUCCGACUUAUUACGUAGCUUCAAGUUUCAGAAACCAUCUUAAUAACUUCGGCAUUAGCCCCUGAUUGUAGAGUGGGAAAGGAGAAGGAGCCAUGGCGAUUCACAUACUCCAGAUGACGAUGACACACCUCUUGCCAUAGCGGACGUAUCCACCCUCACCCCAUGAGCUGCCCCACGAGUUCCUUACUAUCCAAUAUUUUGUUCCACUGCUAUCCUGCCCGUAACCUAUAAUGGUAUGGCAUGAUUGAGACUAGUUCACAAGGUCCGUAAACACACCGCCAUGGUAAUAUGAAAGUUUUCAGCUGGCAUCGAUAAGAGCAGCUAUUGUUGAUUCGACACAGCGUACAUCAUGCUGCGUUCGUCGUUCCUUCGCACAUAUGAAUAACGCAUAAUGUAAGCUGAAUUAGGAAAGCUAUUGGCGUUGCAAGUGCCCUUGGAAUGCUAGAUAAGGAUAGUUUCUUCGGUGGUCACACCGUUGUUAGAUAUGAUGAAAUCUAGGCCUUGUUCACCCAGCCGCCUUUGCACCCUAGCUAACGACACAAUCGAGAAUUCUUGCUGCCGAUAAAGAUACUAAGUACCCUGUUUUGAUCUUGUAGAUUCCCUCCACCGUCGCAAUUGCAGCGAAUGACCAGCAAGACCCUAUGCCAAAACGAAGAUAUAUACGCAUAGCAUAACGACUGUAAGCAAAGUUAUAUCUGAGAUUGCUAUGAUAUAAGAAAACAUUCAAACUAACAUAAUUAAACUGUAUUUGCAAGUACAGAGCUGCUUUUAACUUGUUUUCAAUGGUUUCAAGCAAUAUGGAGGUCCUGUUCUUUUUGACUCACACGUACUUUGCUUACUUUAGUAGUAUGAUUAUUGCAUAACUUAAUAAUAGUAAGAGACUCAGCAAUAGAGCUAACUUGCAAAUAGAUUGAAUCAAGUCGAAGCCUGUGAACAUUGUCCUUGAAUCCUUAAAUGCGAUGGAUGUGUCUUUUUAUCACCAUGUAUGUUUUGAUAGUUAAUUAACACUUAUAUAUACAUUUGAUGCUAAGUUGAUUUUUUAUACUAGAUUCAAUACUUCAUUUCUUUGUACAUUGAUAAUGUUGUGAUUAUACAUGUUUAGACACUUUAAUAGCCAAAGUAAUGGAAUUAUUGAGUUUUAGUGGCGGAAAUUUGUCCUUUUGUCCAGAAAAGGCAGAAGGCAUUCGGGUAGCAAGCAUAUUUGAUCUAAGCAACAUGUUAGCAGCAUCUUAUAAAGUUAACUAAGAAUAGAUUUUUUUCUUUUUUCUAGUUGAAGAAAUGAAGUUGCAUUGACAAUUUAUAGUCUAAAUUAUUUCUUACCACAGGGGUUUUGAUUCUUGACCUCGUUUACGGCACCAUAGUCUCUCCAAUCAAUACUUUGAGGCACCGCGGAGAUGUUUACGUCAUCAAAUGACACCACUGGCUCUCUCUCGAUAUUUAGUGGGAGAGAUACGCCGGUAUAUUGAGCAACAAAUUCGCUUUUUGUCAUAUCGGUAAACUGAUUGAUACCGAGAGUGUACGAAUUUCCGUUGCGACUGUUAAAGGUUUCGAUAUGCUUCACGUUGUUCUUGAAUAUCUGAAACCGGCGCAUCUUCUCGUCGUCGUCCUUGUAAACUCGGCCGUACUCCGCCAUCCAUUCUUCAAACCGCUUCAUCAUGGGAUCAUUGGGUUCGUCACGAGAAGCUGCCGAUGGCGAAGCCCACAUCGCACAGAGAAACAAGAAAAGAAACACGAGUUGAACUUUGGAAGCCAUGCUUAUGUAGCACUAAAUAUCUAGUAUAUGUAUGAGGAACUUGGAGAUUGAGCUACAAGAGCUUUUGUUGCUGAGAGUAUGGUCUCAAGAUCGAGUUUAUAUAGAAGUUCAUGCCUUCGAAUGUACGGGGGAGAAUUAAUGGGUGGGGGCCUACAAGACGUCACAAAUCGCCAUCAAAUUAAGAUUAAAUAGUUCUGGACGGCUUGCGACACCACAUCGUGUGGUCACUAGUGUAGUGAUCCGCGCAUUACGCCGAGUAGAUACUAUUAAAAUAAAAUUUUGUAUAAAAUAAAAUAUUAGUUUAGUAUGAAAAAAUAGUAAAUAUAGUCUAUAUUAUAAACAAACACUUCUAAACAAAAUAAAACUAAAAUGAAAAAAAAUUAAUCGUUUCAAUAAAAUUAUUCAAGCUUGUUAAAAAAAAAAUCGCAUAUCAUACAAAUGGAUGAUUAAAAUUAAUUUUAUAAUACAAUAAUCAGUUAAAAUAUCAUAUAGCAGUUGAUAUGACUAAAAAAAAACUCACAAUAAUUAAUAUGCAAGACAAUUAAUAUAUACAGAGAUAAUGUGAAACCAUAUAUACAUUAUGAGGAGAUGAUGUGAAGCCAUACAUCCUUACGUGUCUGUCGAGGUCUUGAAGUGCGUGAUGUUGAAAAUAAUUAUUACAACAGAAUUACAUUAUAAGAACACAUUUUCAGAACACUUUUGUGUAAUCAUAUUUAUACUAAAAUUUUUAAAAAAAAUUUAGUAAGAUCUAAAUAUAAAGCGCAAUUCAAUUAAAAACAAAAAGUCUCCUACUCAACUAGCCGCACUCAGCCCACUCGGUCUACUCGGCCUGAUUACAAAUAGAAAAAAAUAAAAAUAAAAAAUUGAUCACCAUCUUCUCUUCUCCUCCUCCGCCGUCGCAGCAUCUUCUCUUCUCCUCUGUCGCCGCAACUGACGAGGUAGAAUUCCGGCGGCUGGAGUUCGGUUGCGAGAAUCUCGCAGGGACCGUCGAGGGCUAUAAUCGCCACAUGUCCUUCUGUCACAGUUUGCUAGAGGAGUGAGUGACAAACAUCAAAUCUGCCAUACAUAUAACGACCCCACAUAGAAUAACACUUUUAAAAGUGUCGGUAAUUUAGCUAACAUCAUUUUUUUUUACCUAUACUGAAAUUUAGAAGUGUCGCUAUGUACCGUUUUUGUUGUAAUAUUAAUGGAGGGGGAACCUACGGUUUCGAACGGAUUGUUGCUUGUAAUCUAAAAAUUUUAACACAUUCUCAAGAAACAUCAACAAAACUUUUAUUAAAAUUUAAAAAGGAGGGUGAAAGAUCAAACGGUAAAGGAGAAGAGUAAAAAAAAAAUAAUGUUAGCUCUUUAAGCCUUAUUAAAUCUAAAGAAAAGAAGAAAAAGUUAAAAAAAAAAGUAGACCCUACUAAUCCUAAAAUUUAGUCAUAAAGAUUAAUGUAUAGAUAUAGUAGUAUAGAUAUUCUAAUCACAAAAAUAUUUAAGUUUCUCUACUUUUGUCACAUUUUAACUUUAUAAUUUCUUUCGUAGGACAUUAAGUGACUAAAUAGAACUCGACGUACCCCUACUCGUCAUGAGAUCAUCUUAGGUGCAAGCAAAAGGAACGUACGUUUCUCCAUUUCUAUCUUUUGACUCUCUAAAUUUAAUCUUUCGUGCAUAACUUCUUGUCUAUUUUUCUGUUGCUUAAGCACAACGCAGAAAAUAAAAAGACAAGUGGUUUAGCCCAUUAUAAAUUUAUAUAGAAGCCUAGUAUCAUUCAAACUCGAGGCUACGUCAUCUGAUAUUAUGUAAAACUAGUGUAGAGACUCGCGCGACGCAGCGGAUAGAUAAUUGAAAUAAAAUUUUAAAGUUUUAAUAAAAUUUAUAUUUACAGCUUAUUGAUGUAUAGAAAGCUAUACCAUAUUAAGUACAACCAAUUUGCAUGACUAAAUUUAAUUUUUAAAAAUUUAAAAUUAUAGUUAGAAACUUAUAUAAUUUUUUUUAAAAUUAUCGAAAUAUAGUAAGAGACAUACAAUUUUAUCAUAUUAUGUAACUUUUGAACAUUCCAUUGUAAAAGAUAAAAAAGAGCCAGCUCUAGUUGUAUCAAGCACUUCUGUCCAAGUAUCAAAACAAAUUGAGAAUAUGAAACACAUAAACAAUAAGUUAACGUAUCUGGCUUAAGAAAAUUUUGGGUGAGAUCUCAGGUUCCAAUCUCCAGUUCUCCACAUCAUACUUUUUAGUUUACGAAAGGGACUUUACCUACAACAGUGCCUACUCAAAAAAGUGGUCAUGGGAUGAAAAUAAAAUAAAAACAUAAAUUAAAAAAAACUAAUAAUUUUUGGAGCACUUCUUCAUCCACACGAGCUUGCUCAUCCAAACCUUAUAUAUCUUCUUAAAUUCAGCUGGUAGUUGCCCCCCUCGUCGAGUCGCUUUUGGAUUUCUAUUGGGAUUUAUGAACAAACACCUCAUCUGCAUUACCAAACUGUGAUAUCUAAACCGAUAUAGCCUUAUUAUCACAUCAACCACAGAAAUUCUAAUUCUAAAAUAAUUUGGAUUUACUAAGAAGUUCCUGCGAUUCUCAAGAAGCGAGCUCCCGCGCAGCGUCCCCUUGAAGAGGUGGCUUAGAACGCCGCUCGCCUCGGCCCAGUUGUGGGUGCACGCGAGCUGCGCGAGGAGGCAGCCGAGGCAGUGGCGGUUCACAGCUAGCUGCUCGGCUUCGCAGGAUGAUAAUUCUCGAAGGAAGCAACGUUCUUUGCAGGCUUUUCUUCUUCUUCUUUUUCUUUUUCUUCUUCAUCGUCCUCAUUAUUUUCAUUAAUGCAAUGAGAGAGAGAGAGAGAGAGAGAUGAGCGUUGUGGUGGGAGAUUAGAUGAUAAUGUUGCAUGAAAAAUAUCAGGUCAUGCAAAAAGUAGAGGGCGGGGGAAUUAAUGGAGGAUGGGAGUUGAUUGGAGUUACAAAACCCACUCAUUAAUGGAGGAGUUACAAAGCCCACUCAUUAGUAGGGGGCGGGAUUAAUGAAGGAGGGGAGUGGACUGAAGUUAUAAAACCCACUCAUUAGUAGAAUAUCAUGUAUGUAAUUAAAUAUUACAUCAUGAAUUAAUUAAUUAAUUUAAUUUCAAGGUGAGUGCUAGAAAAAUCACCUGUGGAAGAGAAAGAGCCAAGAAAGAGCCAAUGAAGAAGGUAGCGCCUCCGUGAUUUAGUAGAUUUUUACUUUGUUUUUCUGUAGUUUAAAAGUUGCACUUAAUUAUCAUAUAAUUUUAUUUUUAUUUUACCGAUAGAAUUUUGACAUAAGUUAGCAAAGUAAAUUUUUUUUAAAAAAAAAUCAUAAAGUGAUAUCCUGCUUAACAAUAAAUUCUUACAAUAAAAUAAAAAUAAUAUUAGUAGAAUAGUUAAGUACUAGUGUAGUGACCCGCGCGAUGCAGCAAAAAAAAAUAUUUUAAUAAAAAUUUACAAAUUAAACAAAUAAAUAUGAAUGUAAAGAAGAAAAAAAAUAUAUAACUAAAUUUGAUUAGACUUAAUAAUAUAAAAAACACAUUAAAAAAUAUUUAAAAUGGAAUCACAACUCAACAAAAAAUAAUAAAAGAAACCGAAAAAAAAAUAAGAAUUAUAUGAGAAGAAAAAUUAUUACAUAGAUAUUAUAAAAAAAAAUUGAAAUAUUGCAAGUGAAAGAUAACAAAUAUUAAAGAGCACACUGAAAAGAUUUUAAUUGACAUUUAACAAAUCAAAUAAACAGAUUCAUCCAUUCAAUUCUUUUUUUGACGCAAAUAAAAUUUUUUUAAAAAAUCAAUAGUGAAGUGACCCCAGCAUUAUAUAUAUAUAUAUAUAUAUAUAUAGACACACACACGCGCGACAUCGACGCGAUAUUUUAAUUAUUAUAUAAUACACCAUGAUAAUAAUCCAAUAUUAUCAGUAUCACAUUAGUGUCGGCUUGUAUUUAAGAGGAAAAAUAUAGAAACCAACAAUAAAACCAACAAUAAAAAGCCCAUUGAAUAAGCUUCCCAGGAGAAAAAAAUCCCCAUAAUAAUAUUGGAAAAAAUAUUCUAAACAUUCAAGACAAAAAAGAAUCAUCUCUCUGAAACAAAAGGAAACUUUUCAAAAAGUUAGAACGAAUUAAAACAAACAUAAAAUGUGCCAAAAAUAAAAAUAAAAAAACAUCCAAAAAUGCUUUCCUAAGCUCCAAGCGAACAACAAAUUAAAUGUGAAAAACGAAAAAAGAAACUACUGCUAGAAGUAGAGCUAUAAGGAAUCGAACCUUCUAUUCUAUUGAGCUCUCAAUUCAACAGGUGGAAGGUCAAUAAUCCUACAAAAUUUUGUUGAAGUACAUGCAUUCAAUUGUGGUUUUAUUGGGAGAUGAGGAGGGAACGGUUUUGGAAGAUGAGGGGUUUUGGAAGUUGGGAGAUGAGAGGGAAUAGUUUUGGUGCAAUUAUAUGCAUUCAAUUGUGAUUUUAUUGGGAGAUAAGGAGGGAACGGUUUUAAAGAUGAGGGGUUUUGGAGGUUGGGAGAUGAAAGAGAGCAGUUUUGAAAGAAGGAGAUAACGCCAUGUCAGCAAGAUAUUGGGGAUUCAUGGAUUAGUAUACACAUAUAACUUUUCAAAUCAUCGUAAAAAGUGAAAAAAAUAUUAAACAACAGUAAGAAAAAUUAAAAUUUACCUAAUUUAAUUCAUCACACUAAUUGGAUCCCAAUUCAUUCAUUUCCAUGAUCCAAAGAUUCUACAAUCUCAUUCUCUCAACGAUAUGUGCGUACAAAUUAAACUUAUAUAUGUUACACCAAAAGUCAAAUCAGGCAUUAUAAUUUUUUAAACUUUAUAAAAUUAUAUCAAACAAAUUAAAUUUUAAUUUGUUUUUUAGAGGAAAAUAUAAUUAGUUACAUAUUUUGUUCAUUUUGAGAUCAUUUUUUAUCCCCGAGUAAAACCUAAUAAGAGAUGUAGUGCCAAUAUGCAUAUGCUGAUCCUUGAAAAUUUUUAGAAUGUAUCUGUAUGUUAUCUUGAUAAAGUGGCAUGCAUCUCCAAUCAAUCAAAGAAUUUUUUUUAAAUUUAUUUGUUCCAUAAUAAUUAUUAAAAAUAUAAUUUUAUUAUAUAUUUAAAAAUAAAUAUAAUUAAUUUAUUAUUAAUGAUGUGAUGUAACUAUGAUACAGUAAACUUUUUUCUGCCAAGCCAUCUAUAACGCCUUUCCGGAUAGAUAACUGCAUGCAAUACAUUCUUUCUAUAUUAUUAGGAAGCAGUUUGCUCGUCCUUUGUUUGGACAGAUGCAAUCAUGAAUGAGGGGGCCCGACAAACCCUCACUCCGUACACAAGAGUUAUUGCAGCUGAUGUGUUGUUUAUUGGAAUCGGACCACGUGUUGCACAUACGGACGAGGUGUGAUAAGAAAAGUCUCAUAAAUUAUUAAUACCGUCCAGGCUCUCUUGAGCGAUUAGUCUCUGUCCAAAAUAAUCGUGAUAGUUACAAAAUACUUGUUUGUUAUAUAUCAUUUGUGUCGCUUAAAUAUUCUAUAGCUGAUAUUCAAAAUUUUUUAAAAAUGCCCUGUAGAUAUUUUAUCAAUAAUUUUCAUCAUCACGCAUACAUCACAUAAAUAAUUUUAAAUUUUAAAUUUAUAAUUAAAAUUCUGAAUUUAAUUUUAAAUUUGAAUUCAUAUUUUGAACUUAAAAUUGUAAGUCAAUUUUAAAUCUAAAUUAAAUUUGAAAUUCAAAUUCAAAUUUAUUUUUUGAAUUUGAAUUUCAAAAUAAAACUUUGAAAUUAAAUAUAAAACUAAUUAAAAAUGUAGAUUCACUACAACAAAAUUAAGUUAUAGAGACACAUGUUUGAGACAUUUCAGUGUAAGUGUCUCAUUUAUUUCAAAACAUUAAAAAUAAUCUAUUUAAAUAUAAAGUCUAAUCCAACAAAAAAAAUAAAAGGUUACUUUACUCAACCCACCCAAUCCAGAGCAUUCGACCCGAUUACAAACAGAAAAGGAAAAAAAAAAAAAUCGAUUAACAUCUCCAUUUCUUCCCUAACUCAAUCCACUGAAAUUCUAGAAGAAAAGCCCUUCAAUUCUCUCUCCUCCUCCUCUGCCACCGCAGCCAACGAGGUAGAGUUCUGACGGUUACUAAAUGUUUAAAUAAGUGUCGGUAAAUUAGCAGCACUCUUUUUAAGUUAUACCGACGCUCUUUAACUGUCACUACAUAUACCUAGCGAUCCCACAUAUAGCAAUAUUUUUUUAAAAUGUCGGUAAUUUAGCAACCAAUAUUUUUUCUGACAUGUACUGCUGAUAUUUAAAAGUGUCGCUAUAUAUCGUUUUUGUUGUAGUGAUAAAAAAUUCACGCCCCUUGUUGGCCUUUAUCUUGUCCACAUGUUGCAGCCGUGGUUUUGGCAUGAAGAAGAUCGACUUCGGCAUUAUUGAGGAAAAAUAGAUUUAAGUGAUUGAUAGCUUAAAGUUAAAAUUGUAGAUGUCAAAUGUGUAGUUUUACUAAUGUUUUAGUCAAUUAUGCUCAAAGGGAACAUAUAUAUAGUUCAAAAAUUUGUUAUGCUUUUAAUCCUAUAUAAUUAAGUAAUAGGGGUAAUUUCAAAUGUUCCGGUCAAAAGGUACAAAAUAUAACAAAUGUCUUUACAAAAUUGUAGAUGUCAUUUUUACCACUAUAAAUUUAUGAAUUAUAGCAAAAAUAUCCAUUUUCCGGUUAACUAAGAUUAUCGGACCAAUUUUUGUAUAUUAUAUAAUGAAUCAAUUAUAAUCUAAUUCUCACAGUCCAUUAGAAAAUAAAGAAGUGAAUAUUUAUAGGAUUUCACAACAGUUCCUAAGUUAGAAGACGACCCAAAAUAUGCAACGUCCGAGUUCGAAGCUGGUAACUAAAGUUAAUUUAAUGUGUUAACUUCAAUUUACCCCGUGAUUAAGUAGAUUUUUUCACUUUUUCCUCCAAUGGUUUAAAAAUUCAUCGACAGAACCUGAUGUCAGUUACGAAAGUGAAUUUUUUUAAAAAAAUUAUAGCAUACUAUGCUCUUUAACAAUAAAUUCUUACGAUGAAAUAAAAUAAAAUUGUAGAAUACUUAAGUAUAACUCUUUAAGCCACGGAAUGACCCUGUUAAAUAUAAAAAUAUUUAAAACACCGUUAUCUAACAGCUUAAGCUUUUAGAGUACAACGAUUGUUUAAACAUUUUUAUAUUUCAGUUUCGUUCAUUUUGCGAUUUUCUUUUCUUUUUUUCCUUUUUAAAGUAAAACGUAGAGACUUGGUGCUUGCCAAUGUGCAUGUGAUGAAAUCAUUAAUUUCUCUCUUGUCCAUUAUUAUUUUGAGAGAAAGGUACACUACCUGCUUUAUUCAUUAAAAAAUAAGUUAAACAAAAGAGUAAGAUAAAAGAAUCUCCGAAGUAGGCCGAAAAAAUAAAAAAAAUAAUUAAAUUAAAAAAAACACAUAACCAAAAAAAAAAGAAAAGGAUAUCCUCGUUUAAACACUCUAUUCUCCUCCUACUGAAGCAUCAAACAUCUGAUCGAGUUGACAGCUAGUAAGAAAUUAGUAUUAGCCAAUCUAAAAAUAACGAUGUUCCUUACUGUUCAGAUAACUUACCAAUUGACUGUCAGUUCAGUCAUUCUAUUUCUAACAUACUGAGCACUAUCCUUUUCCAUGCAUCCACUUAUCUAUCCCAUAAUAAUAACCUCUCUUGUCCAUUGUUGGAUCGGAAAGUUGCAAACAAGAGUGGGACAACUUUUCACUCCGUCCGCAAGAGUUGUUGUCGCUGCGCUUGCACCUCAUUUAUUGUUGUUGUAUGAUUGAAAUUAUUUAGAGCAUGUGUGGCACAACAUGAAUAAGAAUAAGAGUUUAUGCAUAUAUAUAUAUAUAUAUAUAUAUAUAUAUAUAUAAAAUUGAGCUCAUAUGCUUUUAAAAGUACCAAGUUAUUAGUGCUUGUAGAUUUUUGGCCAUUGGAUUAAGAGAUAUGCGGUUAGGAUGAUAUGGGCCCCCUAGGGUUGAGUUGGUGGUUGGUUGCAUAAUAUAAUCUAAUGGUUGAAAAUGAUUCGAGGAGUAGAUCUAACGAUAAAAAACUUAAAAGCACCAAGUGUUUGGUGCUUUUACAAGCACCAUAGCCGUACUCUCUCUCUCUCUCUCUCUCUCUCUCUCUCUAUAUAUAUAUAUAUAGUAGGUCUUAUGUGCUAUUAGGAGCACGGGGGCUCCUGUGCUCCUAAGCCGUUUUCGAUGAUGGAGCUUCCGAAUCGACGAUCGGUUCUGUUAGACUUGAUCUAGCAUAUUUGAAGUAUCUAGGAAAUAAAUUUUGUGACUUUUUUAUAAUAUUUAUCUAACGAUCGAAAGGGUUCAAAAUCAACGGCUGAAAAUAAAAAUCUUACAAAAAGUCGUGAUAUAGCAUUAAAAUUUUCGAUCAAACAUAUUGAUCUUGCUGUAAAUAGUAUAAAGAAUUUUCUAUCAAAAUUUCAUCUAAUUUGAAUACAUCAACUAUUAAAAAUUGUUGAUUUUGAACUCUUUUGAUCGCUAGAAAAAUGAUACAGAAAAAUCACAAAAAUUAUUUUCUAGAUAGUUCAAAUACGCUAGAUCAAGUUUAACGAAGCUGAUCGUCGAUUCGGAAGCUUCAUCAUUGAAAACGGCUUAGGAGCACGGAGGCCCCCGUGCUCCUAAUAGCACACAACACCUGCAAAACGGAAACUCCAUAAGCUGUCCCUGCAAAAGUCCUAAUUUAUGCAGAUAUGUCCCUCUGAUUAACAUCUGUUAGAGAACUGUUUAUUUUUUAACAGUUUUCAUGUGAAAUGACCAUUUUGCCCUCACAAAUAUAUCCCUCCAAAAGCAUCUUCCCCCUCUCUUUCUCUUCCUCUUCCUCUUCGGGCCGCCGGAGCGGAUGGCGGCGACGGCGCGGGUCGAGCUCGCCGGCGACAAAGAAGAGGGAAGAGAAAGAAUGAGAGGAAGAAAAAAAGGGAAGAGGAAGAAGGAGAGGAAGAGGGAGAGGAAGAGGGAAGAGAAAGAUGAAGAGGGAAAGGGUUCNNNNNNNNNNNNNNNNNNNNNNNNNNNNNNNNNNNNNNNNNNNNNNNNNNNNNNNNNNNNNNNNNNNNNNNNNNNNNNNNNNNNNNNNNNNNNNNNNNNNNNNNNNNNNNNNNNNNNNNNNNNNNNNNNNNNNNNNNNNNNNNNNNNNNNNNNNNNNNNNNNNNNNNNNNNNNNNNNNNNNNNNNNNNNNNNNNNNNNNNNNNNNNNNNNNNNNNNNNNNNNNNNNNNNNNNNNNNNNNNNNNNNNNNNNNNNNNNNNNNNNNNNNNNNNNNNNNNNNNNNNNNNNNNNNNNNNNNNNNNNNNNNNNNNNNNNNNNNNNNNNNNNNNNNNNNNNNNNNNNNNNNNNNNNNNNNNNNNNNNNNNNNNNNNNNNNNNNNNNNNNNNNNNNNNNNNNNNNNNNNNNNNNNNNNNNNNNNNNNNNNNNNNNNNNNNNNNNNNNNNNNNNNNNNNNNNNNNNNNNNNNNNNNNNNNNNNNNNNNNNNNNNNNNNNNNNNNNNNNNNNNNNNNNNNNNNNNNNNNNNNNNNNNNNNNNNNNNNNNNNNNNNNNNNNNNNNNNNNNNNNNNNNNNNNNNNNNNNNNNNNNNNNNNNNNNNNNNNNNNNNNNNNNNNNNNNNNNNNNNNNNNNNNNNNNNNNNNNNNNNNNNNNNNNNNNNNNNNNNNNNNNNNNNNNNNNNNNNNNNNGAGCACGGAGGCCUCCGUGCUCCUGAGCCGUUUUCGAUGAUGGAAUUUCCAAAUCGACGAUCGGCUCCGUCAGACUUGAUCUAGCGUAUUUGAAGUUUCUAGAAAAUAAUUUUUGCGAUUUUUUGAUAUCAUUUACCUAGCAAUCGAAAGGAUUUAGAAUCAAUAAUUUUUAACGGCUGAAAAUAAAAAUUCUAUAAAAAAAGGUGAUAUAGCAUUAAAAUUUUCGAUCAGAAAUAUUGAUCUUGUUGUAGAUAGUAUAAAAAAUUUUGUAUCAAAAUUUCAUCCGAUUUGAAUAUUUCUACACCGUUAAACUUGAAAAUGGUAGAUAUCAACUAUUAAAAAUUAUUGAUUUUGAAUCCUUUCGAUCAUUAGGUAAAUGAUAUCAAAAAAUCACAAAAAAUAUUUUCUAGAAACUUCAAAUACCCUAGAUCAAGUCUAACGGAGCCAAUCGUCGAUUCGAAAAUUCCAUCAUCGAAAACGGCUUAGGAGCACGGAGGCCUCCGUGCUCCUAAGAGCACAGCAGCCCUACUCUAUAUAUAUAUAUAGAGCUUCUAUAUUUUUAAAAAUACUAAGUUAUUGGUACAUAGAGAUUUUUGGCCAUUGGAUUAAGGGAUAUAUGGUUAGGAUGAUGUGGGACUCUUAGGAUUGAGUGGGUGGUUAGUUGAAUAAUAUGAUCUAACGGAUGAAAAUAAUCAAAAUGAUUGAUUUAAUAGUAAAAAAUUUACAAGCACUGUUGAUAUUUUUACAAGCAUCAUAGCCGAACUUAUAUAUAUAUAUAUAUAGGCUACUAUACUCUUAUGAGUACGAUUGCCCUCGUACUCAUAAGUUGUUUUCGACGAUAGAGCUUCCGAAUCGACGAUCCANNNNNNNNNNNNNNNNNNNNNNNNNUAUAUAUAUAUAUAUAUAUAUAUAGUCCAGUUAUGGCGCUUGUAAAAGCACCAAGCACUUGGUGCUUUUAAGUUUUUUAUAGUUAGAUCUACUCCUCGGAUCAUUUUCAACCAUUAGAUUAUACUAUUCAACCAACCACCCACUAAAUCCUAGGGGGCCCACAUCAUUCUAACUGUAUAUCUCUUAAUCCAAUUGCUAAAAUUCUAAAAGCACCAAUAACUUGGUACUUUUAAAAGUAUAAGAGCUCAAUUCGCUCUCUCUCUCUCUCUCUCUCUCUCUCUCUCUCUCUCUCUCUCUCUCUCUAUAUAUAUAUAUAGAGUCCGGCUGUUAUACUAUCGGUAGCACGGAGGCCUCCGUGCUACCAAGUUCUUUUCGAUAAUGCGGAAAAGCCCAAGUUCUAAGUUGGCACUAAAGUUAAUUUACUGAGUAAAUUCAAUUUACCCACACCCCCGCCCCCUGUAAUUUAGUGGAGUUUUACUUUGUUCUUAUGUAGUUUAAAGGUUGCAUUUAACUAUUAUGUGAUUUUUUAUUUUUAUUUUAUCGAUAGAACUUGACAUCAGUUAGCAAAUUGAAUUUUUUGUUCUCUUUAACAAUAAGUCUUUACAAGAAAAUAAAAUUAAUACUAUAGAAUAGUUAAGUAUAACUUUUCAAACCGCAUUAUAAGAAAGUGAAAAAAAAUUAAACGGCAGUAAAAAAAAAAAUAAAAAUUACCUAAUUAAAUUCAUCAUACUUACUCGAUCCCGAUUCAUUCGUUUCCCUUCAAAGAUUCUACAAUCUCAUUUUCGCAACGAUAUCUGAGUGCAAAUUAAACAUGUAUUAAACCAAAAUCAAAUCACGGAUUAUAAUUUUUUAAUGCAUAAAUCUUUUAAACUUUACAAAAUUAUAUCAAAUUAAUUAAAUUUUAAUUAAUUUUAAAAUUUAUUAGGGAAAAAGAUACUUAGUUAUCCGUUUUGUUCAUUUUGAGAAAUUGUUUUGGCAUUGACUGUUACUAGUGCAACUGGUAAAGAGGUUUGGUGAUUGGUAUCCGAGGUUUUAAAUUAAAGUUAAGUUUAUUUCUAAAUAAAAUAAACGAAAGAGUAGUAUAUAUGCUACCUAUCUCUUAAAAAAAAAAAAAGAAUUUCUUUUGGCAAAACCUACUGGAUGUAGACCCAAUCAGUACGUGUGCUAACGUUAUUUUUGGCAAAAUCUACUAGAUGUAGACCGAAUGUGUACGUGUGCAAAUGUUAUUUUGUCUCUUAUCAAUCAGUUAGUAAAGUCGCAAUCCAGAGGGGGACAACUUUUAUUGCGGACUGAUGAAAUUUUUUGGACCGGCAUUGGGCAAGCACCGUUCCGCAAAUUUGUGCACCUCCUCGUGAGCAGUCGAGCAAUUUUGCCUGUUCACUUUUUGAAGAAAACAUCAAGACCGAGCAAAGCAAAGAAGAAAAGGAGCGAGCAAGGAAGAAUGAGCUUGGAAAAAAUCGCGAUGUACAUUGGAAAAUAGUGGGGUCCACGAGGCUGCACUUAGCCUCAUGGACCAUGUGGAGUGAGAGGUCCACAGCAGUCCUUGUGCUCCUAACUUUUUAACCACACAUCAAAGUUUGAUGGGUGGUUAGAAUGAAAGAGGGAUGAGAUAUUGGGGAGAAAUUGGAUGUCCCUAUUUUUCUUAUUCUUGAAUUUUUCUUUAAUAUCUCAUCCCUCUCUCAUUCUGAUCAUCCAUCAAACUUGAUGGGUGAUUAAAAAGUUAGGAGCAUAAGGGCUGCUGUGCUCCUAAUAGCACAGUAGCCCUACUAUAUAUAUAUAUAUGAUUUUAUAUAUUAUUUUAUAUUAAUUUAUUUUUAUAUUUAUAAAAAUUAUAAUUAUUUAUGAUAUGACAUAAAUCUAAAAAAAAAUUAAUAUCCUAAUUAUGGAUAUUCUUCAUAAUUAUGAGUAUUUAUACUAAAAGCAUAAAUCUAGAGUCAAAGAAAAAUUAACAGCCGAAUUUUUUUAUCUCGAAUUUUUAAUUGGUGCACGUAUAAUAUUCGUAUAAAUCACGUAUCCGAAUAAUUUACGAAUCUAUUUUUUAGCCGUAUUUUUAACAAAAUUUUAAAAUUAAAAUACAAAUUUUAUCCGUAUUAUAUUCAUACCGAAUUUUUGCCGAAUCCGAAUUAACUACCUAUGUUGGACCACAACAUACAUACCGAUUAUUCAGAUACAACUUUAUUUCGCACACAUAUAUGAGAAUUGGUUAAAUUGCACCACAGGCCUCUAAAGUUAAAAAUUUAGUUUGGGCACUAUAUGCGUUAAUUUCGCUCGGGCAUCAUCUGAAGUAAGCCAUGCCAAACUAGGCCCCGCCCUCAACUACAGGCCACCCCCCCAUCUACAGAACAUUCCAAACUAGGUCCCCUAACAUUUCGUCUUUUUUUUUUAAGUUUAUUUUUUGUUUUAAAUUUUUUGAUAAAUUGAGAUGUUUUAGUGAAAUAUAUUAAGAAUUUUAUCAGAUUUUCCGUGAUUCCAUCAAAUUUAAAAGAUUUGACCAUUUCUAGCAAUUGAAACUUGAAUAAUUUACAAGUAACUAGAAUUGCCCAAAUUAAACAAAUUUAGAAGAUAAAAAGAUGUUAAGAGUUGAGAAGUCGAUUUCAAAGGAGCCUAUGAUUGAGCGCUUCUUCAUACCCUUCUACCGAUUACUGUUUAGAAUCAAUUUUUCAUUAUUCUGAAAAGGCUUUCAGUAUAUAGGAAAUGAUGAAAUGAUCUCCCACAGUCUCAGAUUAUAUAAUAUAGUACUAUAUAGUAUAGAGAGAGAGAGAGAGAGAGAGGAGAGGGUUGGACCUAUAUACUAAUUACAAGUAUCCCAUCAUGUUAUUAGGUUCUUAAAGUCAUUGGAUCUACUUUGAUUAUGAAUAGCGCUAUGGAUUAACACUUAUCUCCAACCUACAACCACCUACCACAUCAUCUCAAACCUCAAAUCUCUCUAAUCCAACGGGCUAAAAACACACAGUAUGAACCUCAUAAUACUUUUACAAGUAUUCUAGGCCUACUCUCUCUCUCUCUGCUCUCUCUCUCUCUUAUAUAUAAAUAUAAUUACGGCUAGAUAUACUAAUUAAUAGUAAAAUGCUCUUCCUUUGCUAUCAAGUUUGUUAACCUUGGAUGUGAAAAAAUUAUGAGGGUCGGACUGAUAUUAGUCGGUUAGAGCUUGAGUGCGUCCCUUAGCGGUGGAUGGUCCCCACUGGGAUGAUAUGAAUUUAAUCCGAAUUGUUAGAAAUAAUGAAAAGAGUUAUGAUACAGAAGGCUAAAAAAUCCGGUCACAAUAAAAUUUUGCUACUAAUAGUAGCCCAGUCUCUCUCUCCUCUCUCUCAUCUCUCUUCUCUCUCUUCUCUCUCUCUUCAUAUAUAUAUAUAUAUAUAUUAUAAUAUAUACAGAGUUGAUGCUAGAAACUAUCGCUAGUAAACCGACGCCGUUUUACUACCGAUUUUGUUUUCGAUGAUAGAGCCUUCCAACAAAUGAAGAAUCAGCUCCGUUUAAAUUGAUCUAAACCAUUUAAACUACUAGAAAUUCAAAGUUCACGCACUUUCGAUAUUUUCUUUUAUCCAUCAGUGAACAGAAAAAGAAUAGUUGAAAAUAAAUACUCUUUAAAAAAUGAUGAUAGGAGUCUUUAAUCAGAUCAAGAGUAUAGAUCUUGUUUUAAAUAGUUUAAAGAAUUUUCUAACAAAAAUUCAAUUGAUUUGGAUAUUUUUACGCCGUUAAACGAGAAAACGCCUCUUAUCAACCAUUAAAAUUACAAAUUUUGAAACUCUUUGAUCAUUAGGCAAAUGAUGCCGAAAAGAUUUGAAAUUUGAUUUCUAAACACUUCAAGUGGUAUAGAUCAUGUUCAACGGAGCCGAUCGUCAAUUUGGAAGUUCUAUCAUCGAAAACAAAUUGGUAGUAAAACGGCUCGUUUACUACCGAUAGUAUUCUAGCUCAACUCUCUCUCUCUCUCUCUCUCUCUCUCUAUAUAUAUAUAUAUAUAUAUAGCUCAAUUAUAGGUGUUCUUAAUUAACGUAAAAGGAACUUAUAAGCAAACUUUAUAGAGAAAAAAAAAUAUUUACAUGCAUGUAAGGAUAACAUUUUGGGGACUUCUUGCUUUAGAUUCAACACUUUCUCUCAUUAUAAAUAUAUAUAUAGAGAGCAAGAUGAGCUGGAAUGCUAUUAAUAGCAAACAGGUAUUGGUGCCACCCAUUUGUUUUUUAUGAUGAAGUCUUCAAAUCGACGAUCGGUGUCGUUGAACAUGAUCUGUACCACUUGAAAUAUUUAGAAAUUAAAUUUUAAAUCUUUUCGACAUCAUUAACCCAGUCAUCGAAGAGUUUCAGAUUUUGUAAUUUCAAUAGUUAAUAUGAGAUGUUUUCUCGUUUAACGGCGUAAAAGUAUUCAAAUCAAUUAAAUUUCUGUUAGAAAAUUUUUUAAACUAUUUAGAACAAAAUCUAUACUCUUAAUCUUGAUUACAAAACUCCUAUCAUCACUUUUUAAUAGGAUAUUCAUUUUCGAGCCGUUCAUUUUUGUGUCCACUUGAUAGACAAGAGAACAAUAUCAAAAAAAUAUAAAAUUUAAUUUCUAAAUACUUCCGAUGGUAUAGAUAAUGUUAAACGAUGCCGAUCGUCGAUUUGGAGGCUCCAGUAUCGAAAACAAAUGGAUGGCAACGAAGUCCAUUUACUACUAAUAGCAUCCUAGCUCAACUUUGUCUCUUUCUAUAUAUAUAUAAAGAGUAAAGCUACUAUACUAUUAGAAGCACAGUAGCCCUUAUACUCCUAAGUUCGUAAUUAUUCAUCAAUUUUGAUGAAUAGUUAGGAUUAAUAUCUCAUUUCUCUCUUAAUUUUUUUUCUUUGAAUUUCUUUUCAAUUUCUUUUUUCUCUCUCACCCUAACUACCCAUCAAAAUUGAUGAAUGGUUGUGAACUUAGAAAUACAAGGCUGCUGUACUCUUAAUAGGACAGUAGCUCUACUAUAUAUAUAUAUAUAUAUAUAUAUAUAUAUAUAUAUAUAGAGAGAGAGAGAGAGAGAGAGAGAGAGAGUCCGGCUACUAUACUAUCGAUAGUACCAAGCCCUUGAUACUAUUGAGUUUUCUACCAUUAGAUCUACCCUUUGAUCAUUUCCACCCGUUAGAUUAUACUAUUAAACCAACCAUCCACUCAACCCUAGGGGACCACUAUCAAUUUAAUCAGGGACCACUAUCAUCCUAACCAGCAUAUCUUUCAUAGCAACGCGAAAACUCAAUUAGUACCAGGUUUGGUUAUGAUAUUAUAAGCUAAUCUAUAACAUAAUUAUAUAUAUAUAUAUAUAUAUAUAUAUAUAUAAUAUAAUAUAUAUAAAAUACUACUAUAUAAUAUAUAUAAAUAUCCGGCUAACUAUAUUAUCAUAGUACAAACACUUCAUACUAUCAAAAUUUAACUGUUAGAUCUAUUUUUUUUUGACUAAUUUCAUCCAUUAAUCAUACUUAUUGAUCAACUACCAAUCAACUCUAGAAGACCAUUAUACAUCUAACUAGCAUAUCUUUCAUCAACCAUUACCAGCGCUGUGAUGAUAUUAAAUAGUAUAGUGGCGAUAAUAUAUAUAUAUAUAUUAUAUAUAUAUUAAAUAUAUAUAUAUAUAAAAAUGAAUGAAAUACCUUCUAACACCUUUGGUCUAUCACUUCUAAACCUUGGAUUAUUUUUUAUUACAAUAACUUGGAUUAAAUAUAUAACCAACUACAUCACACAUACGCACCACCUACCCACCAUCAUCUCAACCUACAUAUUUCAAUCUGAAGGGUAAAAACCCAAAACACCAACCAAUUGAGUGCUUUGAAGAGUAUUCUACUUACUCAUUCCUACUCUCUCUCUCUCUCUCGUCCCAGGCGUUAUUAUAUCCUCUUCUCCUUUCUCUCCUCUCUCUCUACUUCUAUAUAUAUAUAAUAUAUAAUAUAUAUAUACUAUGAUGAGCUAUACUAUCGAGCACGGAUCUUCCCGUGCAUUACAGCCGUUUUCGAGUUGCGACUUCGAAUCGUCGAUCGGCAACUUUCCGUAUUAAACUGAUCUAAGAUAUUAUGAAGUACUAAGAAAAUAAAUUUAUGAUACAUUAUUAUUUACGCUAUGAACGAAGGGCUCAAAAUCAACAGCUGAAAAUAAAAAUCUUACAAAAUGUAAUAAUAUGACAUUAAAAUUUUAAAUCAAAGAUAUUGAUCUUGUUUUAUAUAGUAUAAAGAAUUUUCUAUCAAAAUUUCACGUGAUUUGGAUAUUUCUACACCGUUAAACUUGCAAACGGCUCACUACGGCCAUUGAAAUUUGUUGAUUUUGAGCCCAUUCGAUCACUAGGCAAAUGAUAUCGAAAAAUAAUAAAAUUUAUUUUCUAGGUACUCCAAAUACUCUAGAUCAAAUUUAACGGAGCCGAUCGAUGAUUCGAAAGUCGCAACAUCGAAAACGAGCUGGAAGCACGGAAGGCUCCGUGCAUAUAUAUAUAUAUAUAUAUAUAUAUAUAUAUUGUCCGGCUAUGAUGCUUUUAAAAGAAUCAAGCACUUAUGCUUGCUUGUAAGUUUUCCAUCGUUAGAUUUACCUUUUUGACCAUUUUUACCUAUUAAAUCAUACUAUUCAACCAACCACCUACUCAACCCUAGGAGACUAAUAUCAUUCUAACCGCACUUCUCUUAAUCCAAGGACCGAAAACCUAUAAGCACCAACGAUUUGAUAUUUUUAAAAGUAUAGGAGCUCAAUUAUUUGUAUAUUAGGAAUGUUGUGCUCCAAGAAGCAUAGAGGCCUCCGUACUCUUAAAUUAUUUUCGAUGAUGGAAUUUUCAAAUCGAUAAUCAGCUCCGUUAGACUUGAUAUAGUAUAUUUGAAUUAUGUAUAAAAUAAAUUUUAUAUUUUUUUGAUAAUUUUUGUAGUAAUCGAAAGCGUUCAAAAUCAAUGGUUGAAAAAAACCGUAUAAAAAAUAAUGAUAUAAAGAUCGUAUAUCAUUAUUAGGAUAAUGUGGGCCCGGCACGGCACAGUUAGGAUAAUGUGGAACAUAAUUAGGGGUGUAAUGUGGGCCAUGCCGGGCCGGCACGGCCAACAUUACUCUGGCCGAAACGGGCCAGGAGUAGGCUGAGCCCGGCUCGGAUUUACAUCUAAGUUGUGCCGUGUCGGGCCGGAUGAACCAACCGUCCGGCCCAGCACGACCCCCAGGCCCGGAAGGUCCGGGCCGUGCUGGGCCAGGUCGUGCCGGGCUUUGGGUCCGCCAUUUAAAAUUUUUAUUUGUAAUUUUUUUCAAAAAUAUAAAAUUUUAAAUUAUGAUUAAUUAAGUAUUUCUAUUUAAAUUUAUAUUGUGAUUAAAAAUUUUUAAAUUUCUAAAUAUUUUAAUUUUUCUAAAAAAUUAAUAAAUUAUUAUUUAUUAUUUUAAAUAUAAUUAAUGGAAUUUGCUCCAUCGAACCAACAUAAACAUGGUGCUACUACUAUGUGGGCUAAGAGCCAUGUCGAUCCGCAUAAUAUUUUUUUUACAAAAAUAUUUUUAAUAGAAUAAAAGUUUUUUACUAAAUAUUUUUUAUUUAUAUAAAUAUCAAUGACUAUUUAUGAGUCCGGCUGGGAUACUAUUGAUAGCACCAAGGGUUUAGUAAUAUCGAGUUUUCCACCGUUAGAUUUAACUAUUUGAUCAACUGCAUAUUUUUCAAUAAGGGAUAAAAAACUAAUAGCACCAAGCUAUACAUUGAUAGCAUUCCAGCCUAGUUCGACCAUUUAUAUAUAUAUCUUUUUAUAUUUAUUCUUCAUUAUACAUUGGCUUCAUAGUACUAUCGUAUAACACAACCCAAUUAUGUGGCUAGGUCGAGUUACAGCAAACCCUUAUUUCCACCCUAGAAUACGGGCAUACACAAUUGCAUUGCAUAAGGAGACACAUGUUCGAUCCAUUUUGUAAUACUAAUUAAUAAGCAACAGUAGAUCACAAUAACUGUAGAUCUUCAAACUAGCUUACAUAGAACAUACCGAAACAUAACAGAAACCACAAGGUCGAAGAAAGCAGCUGAACAGUUGGAUGCCUACUUGCAUCCUUAUUUUAUAACUAAGCAUAUAUAUAUGAUAGCAAACUGCAUGCAGUGCGUUGCUAAUCAUCAUCACUUCCGAUCGACCUACACUGAGCUUCGACUUUCAGAAACCAUUUUAAUGGCUUCGACAUUGGCCCCAGAUUGUAGAGUGGGAUAGAGAGGAUCCAUGGCGAUUCCACAUAAUCCAAAUGACGAUGACACAUCUCUUGCCAUGCGGAUGUAUCCGCCCUCACCCCAUCUGGCACCCCAUGAGUUCCUUACUAGCCAAAAUUUUUUUCCGCUGCUAUCCUGCCCGUAACCUAUAAUGGCGAUGGCAUGAUUGAGUCUAGUUCCACAAGGUCCGUUAAACACACCGCCCUUGUAAUGUUGAAAGUUUCCACUGGCAUCGAGAGCAGCAGUAAUUGGUUGAUUCGACACAGCGUACAUCAUGCUGCUUUCGUUGUUCCUCCGCACACGUGCAUAACUAGUAAUAUAGGCUGAAUUGGGCACGCCAUUGGUCUUGCAGGGGCCUUUGGAUGCUUUGUAAGGGUAGAUAGCUGCCGAUGCCACGCCCUUGUUAGAUAUGAUGAAUUCGAAGGCCCUGAACUCCCAGCCGCCUUUGCACCCGUAGCCUUUAGCACAAUCGAGAACUUGCUGCUCCGAUAAAUAUACUAAGUUCCCUCUUUUGAUCUUGUAG
rnacentral:lncRNA from 1 species